UGCAUUCAAGGAUGUAAUCUUUGCACUAAGAUCAAGAGCUACACGAUCACGAGCUUCCUCUUUUAGAGAUUCAAUCAGAAGUUCAACUUCCUGCUUUCUCAUGGAUUGAAACGAAUGGAUCUUGUGAUUGCUCAAAAGGUGCACUGUGCACAAUUUCCGCAUGUUACGCCAAUACACACCAUACUUUGCAAAUAUCAUAUUUUUUUGGCCAUAAGCCAAAUAUUGAGAUGCCUCAUGAUGAGGCCUACUAGCAAAGAUGUGAUCAUAUGUCUUGAGAAAUUUCUCAGCUGCAUCAGCGGACGAGGCAAUGGUCGUAGGUACUAGUCCUAAUCGCAAAUACAUAAUAGGACCAUGUUUCUUGGCUAGUCUUUGUAAAUCUUGGUGUGGAUUUUUGCAUACAAGAUAUUAAAACUAUAGGGGCUCGUUUGGGUUAACUGUUACCGGUUAGUGGGUAGAGAGGAUUUAUCUAUGCAUUAAAAUUAAAGAAAAGACAUUUUUUCCUCCCUGAACUUUUUCACUAACUUACUUUAACACUUAAACUUAACUUCCAUUUAUUUACCCCUUAACAUCUUUAAACUGUAUUAGUUUCACCCCUUAAUAUAUAAUAAUACCACUCUAACACGGAGAGUGUGUUACACUCGCCCACACAUCAGCACCACGUUGGAGUGAACGGGGUGGGGGUGGAUGAGAGAAAGAAAUAUAUAUAUAUAUAUAUAUAUAAAUAUUUUUAAAUAUUUCAAAGAGAUAAUACCUCAUUACCUCCUGAACUAUACCCAAAACGGCAGAGACACACCUCAACUUAAAGGGGGUCAUAUUACCCCUGAACUAAUUAAAAGUGUAACUUUGACACCCUUAGCACCUACGUGGCACAACACACUAAAGUGUCCACGUAGGCACACGUGUGUGCCACGUAUAUCUCAUGUAGGUACUAAAGGUGUCAAAAUUACACUUUUAAUUAGUUCAGGGAUAAUAGAGACCGUUAAGUUAAGCUGUGCCACAACCAAAUAGUUCAAGGAAUAAUAAGGUAUCUUCUCUAUUUUAAAUAAAAGAAAUAUACCCUCCCCCUUUCUAUCUUCUUCAAACCCCCCCUCCUCCCCCACUUCUUUCUUUCUCUCAUCCACCCCCACCCCGUCCACCCCCCACCCCGUCCAUAUUCUACACAAUUCAAGGAAAUAAAAAAAGUUUUCCAUUCUCUCAUACUAAACACCCCUUAUAAACUAAGAAUCAACUGCAAAUUAGCUCAAAUUAAGGCAAAAUUAAAACAAAAUCACUCUGGCAAACCUCAUAAGUCAGGGAAAAAACAACAUAGAAUAAUUUUAUUUGGCUUAUUUAUGAAAUGUAGAGCAGGAAUUAGGUAAAGACAAUUAAAGAAUAGAGGUGAAAAGGAGAAAAGUAGGUACGCCAUGAAAGAGGAGAUUGAGGAAUGGGGAAUCAUAAAUAGACUUGAUUUCAUGUUGAGUCCAGUUGUUUCUGGGUCCUUGACAAUGACGAAUAACUCCGGCCAAGUAGAACCAACAACGAUAAUGGCUGCCGAAUUGAUCCAACCCACACCAUCACCCAACAAGAGGUGCGACAGUUGUAUAUACACACGAAUGACGACUUUUGCAGAAACUGGAACUGAAGCAGUAGCUCUCAAUUUGCUGCUACUUUGGAAAUUUCGCUGUUAAUUCAACUGAUUUUAAUACUACAGUGGGUGUUGUACCUCAUGAAAGUUUGGUGUUUAAUGGAGGAAAAAUUUUAAUUUAGUAUCUUAGUGAUUAUUCUUUGACGGUGUUAAUGGAGAAAAAUAAAAAGAAUUGAAGGAGAAUGUUGGUGAAAAUGAAUUUGAGGAUGUUAAUGGAGGAAUUUGAGUGUUGUUGUUGUUGAUGUUUUGGAGAAGAAAGAAUAAAAGGUAUUUAUUUUUUUAUUUUUUAAAAUUUUUUAAUUAUAUUUUAAAUAUAAUAUUAUCGAAUUUUUUUUAUAUAUAAAAAUACGUGCCUUUUUUUUUCUUUAAACAAGUAUUUAAAAGAAAUUAAAUAGACAAAAAUAGUGUUUUAACGCACUCAACAACAUUUGCUUACAUGCGUGCAAUUAAGGGGGAAUUUUAAUAAAGUUUAAAGAUGUUAAGGAAUAAAUAAAUGAAAAUUAAAUUUAAGUGCUAAAGUAAGUUGAGCGGACAAGUUCUCAGAAAAAAUGUCUUUUCUCUUAAAAUUAACAUAAUUUAUAUACAUAUGUUUGGUUGACUUUUUUUUUUUUUUUUUUCAACAAAAAUCAUUGAUGAUACAAUGCAUGGUAUUCACAUUUUUCUUUUACACAAAAUUAUUACAUGUAUGCAUUCUAUAGGAAUCUAUGUAUUAUUGUAGGCGGAGUAAAGGCCAAACACAUCGGCAAACCUUUUAAACUUGAUACGAAUUUUCACUUUGACAUCUAAAGUGAAUGUUGUUCAUUUUAAACACCUAAACGAACCUUCAAUUGUGUCAAUUUAAACUAGUUUUCAAGUGUGAACUAGUUUUUGACAAAUUUUGACAGCUAAUUUAUAUUGGAAAGGGACUUACAAAUAAAGAAAAGGAUUACGUGGCUUUUUGGAUGGUGAAAAUGGUUUGUAUUAUUGGUUUUUAUGGAAAGAGACAAGUAACAAACUCUAUGGUCAGAAUAAUCAGAAUAUUAAUGCACAUAAUAGCAGGUCAAACCCGCCAUUGUUUAAGGCCACGCGUGGGUUCAUAUAUUUAACUCUAAUAAUGGCACAAAUUACGUAUUAUUAACGAUACAUAUUAAUAAUAUUUUAUGAAUUAGACUAAUGGUUGAUUACCUAUCAAAGGAAAAAAGAGCAAGAUCAAGGGGAUGACUUAUUCCUUGUUAACUAGGGAUUUUCAUUAAUUUAGUACCAGCCACAUCCAAGCGAGAACUCGUUCUGCUAUGUUUAUCUAUUCCCGUGAGUCGUUUUUCCAUAGAUAUAAAUGACAGAUUAUUUAGUUUUUAAUUUAAGGGACGAAUGUUAGUUUUUAAUCCUCGUUGAGCCUACUCAAUAUGAUCGUUCGAAAUUAAGUUUUUGAUUGAUUUAAUUGGUGUAGAUGUUGAAGGAAUAACUAAAUUAGAUAGAAAAAGUUUUUGAUCGAAGAACUCGAUACAAGUUUUUAAAUUUAGACGUGUUUUUCUCUCUUCUCACCCGUUGUUAUUUUCUCUCUCUUCACGAUAUUUGUUGUUCAUUGUUGUCGCUGCUUUAUUCAUCAUCUUCAGAUUCAUUAUCAUCAUCUUAUACUUCAUUAUCAUCUUCAUAUUGUUCUUGUUGACCAUUGUUGUUGUUGUUGUUGUUAUUGCAACUGCUGCUCUUUGACCAAUUUCUUAUGUCAAAUUUUUUUUUGUACAUCACUUUCAACUUUGACAUUUACUUGAGAGGAGACUUUGGUAAGUAAAAUUAUUUUUUUUAGUUAAAUUUGUUAUCUGGGUAACUGCUAGUGUGCUGUUUUUUCAACAAUAGCUAGCACGCGAACAUGAAUGCAACAUAAGAGCAAUCUGUUUAAACAGAUCCAUCAUCUAUGGCACCAGAUAAAUAUUCUGUUGCAGCAGUAGACUCAUGUUGGAUUUAUGUUUAUGGUUCUAGAUGUCCGUAAUAUGAAUCGAAUAAAUGGAUAUUCUGUUGCAACAAAUCAGUAAUCUGUUUCAACAUAUUGAUAUUCUGUUGCAACAAAUCAGUAAUCUGUUUCAACAUAUUAAUAAUCUGUUGCACCAGAUUAGUAAUCUAUUUCAAUAGAUUAAUAAUCUGUUGCACCAAGUUAGUAAUCUGUUUCAACAGAUAAAUAAUCUGUUGCACCAGAUUAGUUAUCUGUUCCAACAGACAAGUAAUCUUUUGCAACAGAAUAUAUAUUUGUUUCAAAAGAAUAUUUAUCCGUUGCAACAGAUAAUUAUUCUGUUGCAACAUAUGAAUAAUCUGUUUCGAACAAUAAAACACAACUCUUGUCACAAACCCAACAGAUAACUCAACUCAUAUGUUGAUCUCUUGCUAUUGAUACUGGAUUUAAAUUAUCCCUUACUUGUAGACAUGUCAUUUGUUGAGAAAAAAAAAAUAGACAACAUGAAAAUUAAAAAGAAUUAAAACGUCAAAUGAAUCAAACAUAAGUUUUUUAUUAAACAAAAAAAUAAAAAUACACAGGUAAAAGAAAAAAAAAAAGCUCAAUUAUUAUUAUCAUCAUUAUCAUUAUUAUUUGUAUGGCCAGCCGGACAAUCUUCAACUGGCAGCAGCAGCACCCUCCUCAGCCUGCGGAUCUCCCGCAGCAUCCUUACUCUGACGGAGGCUAACUCCCACUGUAGGUCAAGAAUCUAUUUUUUUUAAAUUAUCAUCAUAUCAUUAAUCCAAAUUUGUUGACUUUUUUAUUAUAUAAAUUAAUAAAACAUAUUUAAAAACAAAAAUAUUUUUGGUGAGUUUUUUAUGGUUUAAAUUGUGUUUAUCAUUUAUUUUCUUAUUAUUUUUUGUGAAAAGAAAUGACUUAAUUAAAUCAAGAUGGUGAAUUUUUUAUCAUUGUGACAAGUCAUGACUUUUCAACUUAUUAUUAUUAAUUAGUUCUUAAAUUUAAAUAACCUUUUUCUCAAUUUAAAAAUCGAAGACACCUUUUUAAUAACCGUUUCUUUAAUAAAAUAAUAACCACUUUUAUUGAGUUAUGACAACAGAUUGUAUAUCCGUUGCAUCAAAUAACACAUAUGUUGCAACAGAUAUACCAUUUGUUGCAACAAAUCGACCAUCUAUUUUAGGAGCUUUUUUAUUUUUUCUAACAGCUGAUUCAUCAGUCGCAACAGAUGAGAAAUUUGAUGCAUCAACAACAUUGUUUGUUUGUUUAAUGUGUUUAGAUUAAAAAUCAUGGUCACGACUGUUCACCUUUUUCUUAACAAACAAUCAUCAUAUAACUUAAUUAAUCCAAUGUUAUGACUUUUUUUAAAAUUAAAUAAUCUUUAUUUUAUGGUUAUAAAUUGUGUAUACCAUUUAGUUCUUUAUUAUUUAUUUACGAAUCGUUUUUAGGAGAAUCAUGACUUUUCACCACCCUCAAAAUAAUAACCUUUUUUAAUUAAUAACCGCCUGUUGCAAUAUAUGAUCCAUCUGCCGCAUUAGCUUAAACUCUGUUGCCACAAAUGCUCAAUCCUUACCUCCAACCGUUGACAUGUUGAGAAUAAAGAAUAAAUAGAAUAAUAAUUAAAUAUUAAAUAAGAAUUAAAAAUUCAAAGUCGACCAAAUCAAACCAAACAUACAUAUACAUAGAUUUUUGAAUCCCUUAUAGGUAGAUCCGAUAUAAAAAGGGAAAAUACAUACGCUAAAAGAAAGAAAAAACAUAACCUAAUUAUUAUUACUACUUUUAUUAUUAUCAUUACAAUUAUUAUUAUUAUUACUAUUAUAAUUGUCAACCGGACAAUUUUCAUCCAACAUCAGCAGGGCCCUACUCAACGUUGCUUCGAAAUCGGCCAAAUCCCUCCAGAGUUCAUCAAACUUCCUUUGAAGUUUCUGCAAAGACUUGAUAUGAAUCUUCUUGUACGAAUCUGAAUCAACCAUGUUUGUAUUGUAAGUGUAGUAGAAUGAACGAGUGAGUGAGAGUGAGUAGUGAGUAAGGAAGGAGGCCGGAGGGACCUAUUUAAUAAAUGAUUAAAUUGGAAGGGGUUAGUCAAACAAAAAGCCACGACUAUUCAUAUCUCUUAAUUAAAUAAAACUGGUGACCUUUCGAAUAUGUAAAUUUUUAAAAAAAUGGAUCUAAAUACAACAUUUUAUCUUUUAUUGUAUUUCGAAAAGAAAAGAAAAUUACUUUAAAAUAAAUCUAAUAGAUGGAUAAUCUGUUGCAAAAUAUAUUCCAUCUGUCAGAUAACUUACAACAUAUUGACAUUCUGUUAUAACAGAUGGAUAUAUCUAUUUGCUUUUCCAACAAAUGUGGCAUCUGUUGCAACUAGCUAUUCAUCUGUUUAUUCAAUUUAAGAAAUAGAUGGGCUAGGAAGAAUAAAGUGUGUGCAGAUGGAUCCACUAUCAUAUGUGUAGGAGUUAAGUAAGUAUUACUAAUAAGGUCAUCGGGAUAACACACACAAAGUACAAUGUUACCUAUUAGGCACUGAUCAUUCAAACAAGAUCUUACAUUGUACAGUUAAGUUUGAUGGGUUCGAAUUGACAAGGCUGAGGGCCCCAUGAAGAUGGUGUAGAUACCCUAUUACGAAUUGCUGACGGUUGUUGCUCGUGUUUAUGCGUGUCAAGUUUUGAGAAGGGAUCAAUAUUUGGUGUCAUUGCAGAGAACCAAUAGAGAUUGGACUUAACUUUAAAUGUGUAUUGGACUCCGAAAACCCCUUCGAAGCCUCACACUGCAAAAAAAAAAGAAUGAAAAACAAAUAGAAAUUCUCCUAGCCUAAAUUUAUAUAUUUGGGUUGCUCAGGGUGAUGAUUAUACGCCAGAAGGUACGGUAGGAGAAUGCCUUCGAGGGAAAAUGGAUGGUUGAUGAAAGAAUAUAUCAUCUGAGAGCUAAUUGAAGAAGAGACAUAGGGUAGAAAGUGACUUCUAGUGAAUCUGGCCGAUGGAAUUAUCUUAAAACAUGAGAAAUCUAAAUCAAGUGCAAAUAUAAAAGUGUAUCCGAUAAUGUAAAUUCAUUUGUUAUCUCUCUGAAAGAAAAAUAAUACAAAUGGACACUUUGCUAGGGAGCUGCGACUAGGUAGUGGGGUCAGGAUUAUCACCUAGAUAGAAAAUAGUAGAAGACCAAGAAAGACACCUUACGGGCAUCGAGGGUUGAAAUGAUGUACAGUAAGUCUAGAAAACUUUCACCAACAAAAACUGUAAUUAAAGUAAGGAAUCCAAGCGAAGGAGACAAUUUCUAAAUUUUAAAUUGCAUCCCAUGCCUUCUUGUUUGUGGUUUCAAUUAGGUCCACUGCUAUUGUCCUAAUCGGAACCAAAAAUGAGAUUGAAAGACAAUUGUGUAUCAUUAUUUCCUUAGCAAUAUGGAUUAAUUGAUUAUGUUUUCUUGCCUUAGCAUGCUUUCAACAUUUCUUAGAGAAGAUCAGAGGCUUGUUCUAGUAUGUAAAUCCUGAUAAUUUUCAAGCUUGCCUCCAGCUUGCAGAUUCUGUAAUCAAGCUGGCCGUUGUCAUCUUUAAAGUUGGUAUAGAGUUCUUGGUCUCUUGUGAGUUCGAUUAGAAACACUACUUCAAAGGUGUGGCAUUAAAGAAGACCUUCAAAACACUUUCUUUAGAAGCAUUAAAGGAUACAUGGAGGGCCGCUGUGUUUGUUUUAGGUCAAAAUGUAUUGAUGCACAGUCAAGAUGUGGUCCCAACCAUUGAAUAAAUCACUUUUAUCAAGUGUUGCUCACUGUAGCUUACUCAACCACCCUUCAAAGGAUUUGAUAAAUUAAUCAGCAAGGAGUUACGUAACGUUUGAUCUAAACUGACUCUACCAAGCCUAUCAAACGUUAUGUAACUCCAGGCUCAUUACCCCAUCAAAAGACUUUGCCCGAGUUAGUGCACAAAUCAAAUGAGCUCAAUCUCUCAACCUUUCUGCUGAUCGCUCUUCUCUAAUUAUAAAUGACAAGAUAUCCACCAUGCAAAAGUCUACACCAUCAGCAGAAAUGUUUUCCACAACGAAAGGUCUUCUGAAGGCAUCAUUAGUAAUCUCUCAAUACCAAGUGAUAUUGAGAGAUUACUAGUCAUGCCUUCUCAAGACUUUCGCUCUGGCAAGAAUCUCUGUUGAUGACUAGAUAUCUGCCAUGCAAAAGUCUACACCAUCAGCAGAAAUGCUUGCCACAACGAAAGUCAUCAGAAGUCAUGACUAGUAAUCUCUCAAUACCAAGGAAGUCCUGUACGAAAGUUUUCAAAAGACAUUCAAAAAUAAGAAAGUUUUCAGCAAUGACUACACAUAAUUACGACAUCAACAACAUCACCAGAUUCACUCCUAGCUCAAAAGAAAAGGUGAAAUAUUUUCAUUUGCAUUCCUAGUUCAAAUGCAAAUGGAGAUAUUUCUGCCUUUUCUUUUGAACUAGUAGUGAAUCUGGUGAGGCUAUUGAUUGUAAUUAUAUGUAGUCAUUGCUGAAAACUUCCUUAUUUUUGAAUGUCUUUUGAAGACUUUUGUACAAGACUUCCUUGAUGUUGAGAGAUUACUAAUAAUACCUUCUGAAGACUUUCGCUCUGGCAAAAAUUUCUGCUGAUGAUGUAGACUUUUGCCUGGCAGAUAUCUUGUCAUUAGUAGAAAUUCUUACCACAACAAAAGUCUUGGGAAAGCAUGACUAAGAAUAUCUCAAUAUCACUUGAUAUUAAGAAAUUACUGUUGAUGCCUUCAAAAGACCUUUCGUUGUGGCUAGCAUUUCUGCUGACGGUGUAGAUUUUUGCAAUGGUGGAUAUCUUAUCAUCUAUAUUGGAGAAGAGCAAUCAGCAGAAAGGUUGAGAGAUUGAGCUCAUUUGAUUUGUGCACUAACUCGGCAAAUUUUUUUGAUAGGGUAAUGUGCCUGGAGUUACGUAACGUUUGAUAGGCUUGGUAGAGUCGGUUUAGAUCAAAAGUUAUGUAACUCCUUGCUUAUUAAUUUAUCAAAUUCCUUAAAGGUUGGUUGAGCAAGAUGCAUUAAGCAACGCUCAAUAAAAGUGAGCUAUUCAACAGUUGGAAUCACAUCUUGACUGUGCAUCGACACAUUAUGACCUAAAAAUAUACACAGCCACCAUACAUGUAUCCUUUAAGGCUUCUAAAGAAAGUGUUCUGAGCGACAACUUCGAAGAUGAUGUUCCUGAUCAAGCUCACAAAAUAUCUGGAAAUCUAUACGAAAUUCAAAGACGGCAACAACUAGCUUGAAUACAGAAUCAGCAAGCUGGAGGCAAACUUGAAAAUUAUCAAAAUUCACAUACUAGAGCAAAACUCUGAUCUUCUCUAAGAUAUGUUGAAAGCAUGAUAAGGCGAUAAAACACAAUCAAUUAUAACCAUAUUACUAAGGAAGUAAUAAUACUUAAUUUGCCUUUCAAUCUUAUUUGUGGUUCUAUUCAGGUCAACAGUAGUGGGCCUAAUUAGAACCACAAACAAGAAGACAUGAGAUACAAUUUAAAAUUCAGAAAUUACCGUCUUCGCUUACAUUCCUUACUUUAAAUGCAGUUGCUGUUGGCGGAAGUUUUCUAGACUUAUUGUACAAUAUUUCAACCCUCGAUUCCCUUAAGGCGACUUUCUUGGUCUUCUGCUAUUUUAGGUGAUAAUCUAGACCAUGCUACCUAGUCACAGCUUCCUAUCAAAGUGACCAUCUGCACUAUUUUUCUCUUAGAAAAACAACAGAUGGAUUUUUCAUUACCGGAUACACUUUUAUAUUUGCACUUGAUACAAAUUUCUCAUGUUUUAAGAUAAUUUCAUCGGCCAGAUUUGGUAGAAAUUACUUUCUACCCUGUGUCUAUUCUUCAAUUAGCUCUCAGAUGAUAUAGUCUUUCAUCAACCACCUAUUUUCCCUCGAAGGCAUUCUUCUACCGUACCUUCUGGCGUAUAGUCAUCACCCCGAGCAAUCCAACCAUAUAAAUAUGGGCUAGGGCAAUAACUAUAUUGGUUUUCCAUUCUUGUUAGAUGCAGUGCUAGGCUUCGAAGGCCUUCUCAAAGUCCAAUACACCCUAAAAAUUAGUCCAAUCGCUAUUGAAUCUCUUUAUAAUGACACCAAAACUAGAUCCCUUUACAAUUCUUGCCAAAUAACAUGAGCAACAACCGACAUUAAAUCUUAAUAGGGUAUCAGAACCAUAUUCAUGGUCCCUCAGCCUUAUCAGUUCGGACCUACCACACUUAACUGUAAAAUUACAAAUAUCUUGUUUGAAUGAUCUAUGACUAAUCGAUAAAAAAAACAUUUACAAAAUCAGUGUACUCUAUGUGUGUUUUCACGAUAACAUUAUUAGUAAUACAUACCUCCAACAUAUGAAGUUGUUCCAUCUGCAUGCAGCUUAUUCCUCUAAACCCAUCUUUACUGCAACCUCUUGUGAUGGUCGGACAAAAGUUGAUCAAAUUUUAAUUUCUUAUAUCUACAAAAAAGAGGAAAAAAAUUAAUGACACAGAAAAGAACAUUAUCCAUCUGUUGUAACAGAUAUAGAGUUUUUUGUAUUAGAUAUGGAGUCUGUUGCAUCAUAUAUAGAGUCUGUUGCAUCAGAUGUGGAUUUUGUUGCAACAGAUGUAGAGUCUGAUACAACAGAUAUGUUGUCUGUUGCAAUAGAUAUGGAGUCUAUUGGAAUAUAUCAAAUCAGCCUUGCUGGUGGUUUGAUUUGUUCCAACAGUUCAACAACAGCAUAAACUACAAAGAAACAACAAAUAAAAAACAUCAAUAACAAAGAAACAAUAUUUGUUCCAACACCAUCAAGAAUAUCAUCAACAACAAAGAAGCAACAUUCUUUGUUCCAACACCAUCAACAAUACCACACCACAAGUUCCAACAACGCCAGCCCGACUAACAACAUCAAUAAUAGCAUAAACAACAAAGAAAAAAAUAAAAUACAUACAAAAAAAAUGAUAUUGCAACACUUAAAAGUUUCUUCAAAUUUUUUAAAUAAAUAUGAUAUGGGUAAAUGAUAAUUAAAUAAAAAAAUAGAUAUAAAUAACUUACAAAGAAGAAGAUGAGAAUGAAAGAGCAAUAGUGAAUCAUACCUUAAUGUCAAAAGGGAAUCAAAACAACAAUUUCAGUCGAGGAAAGAUAUGGAUCGAUUUAGAUCCAAAAGGAUCUUUAUGAGAAAGAGAAGAGAAAAGAGAGAAAAAAGGUCGUGAUAACCCUAACCUAAAGAGGGGAGAAAGAAAAGUAUGAGAGAUAAACAAAAUAAAUUUAGGGUUGAGGCUGAGGAAUGAGAUGAGAUAAUUUUAGAUGUAUUGUGUACGUAGACGUGGGUUUUUUAGUAUUCAUUAAUUAAUAUAAUUAAUAUUCAUUAAUAAUUUGAGGGGCACGAGGAAGACUAGUGACAUUGAAAAGACAAGAUAAGACUACUCAAUGAACUCAUUUCUGAGUUAUCCAAGAAAAAAACUCUUCAUUUUUAUCGCGUUUUGUAGUACUUACUACUUUAUCUACUCGGACAGAAAGCUUUAAAAUUGAAAAAAAAAAGAUUUUCAAAUAGAUAUUUCAUCUGUUGCAAUAGAUAGAAAUAUUUGUUUAAAAAUUCCAACAGUACAGUCAUCUAUUACAAUAGAUACAAAUAUUUGUUUAAAAUUCCCAAUAACUCACAGAUGUAAAUUUCCAUUUGAUAAUUAAAUUAGAUAUGUCAUCUGUUACAACAAAUAUCAAUAUCUAUUUGAAAAUUUCCAACAGCUCAGUCAUCUGUCACAACAGAUGUAAAUAUCUAUUUGAUAAUUAAAUCAGAUAUCUUAUCUGCUGCAACAAAUACAAAUAUCUGUUAGAAAUUUCCAAUAGCUCAGUCGUUUGUUCCAACAGAUUUUAUUUCAAUUGAUUUAGGUGGAACUAGGGAUGAAUGAAUGAGUUCAUAGGGUCAACUACAACUUCAAUUAUGUCUUUACAAUUGGUGUUGGUAUUGCGUUCAUCUCGAUCCGAGUCGUCAAUCGAUCACUCUGAGUUGAAAUAAGCUCUCAUUAACAUUAAAUUAAUGCUACGAUUAAUAGUACCUAAAUUGAUUUAGGUGAAACUAGGGAUGAAUGAAUGAGUCCAUAGGAUCAACUGUAACUUCAAUUGAGUCUUUACAAUUAGUGUUGGUAUUGCGUUCAUCCCGACUCGAGUCAUCGAUCGAUCACUCUGAGUUGAAAUGAGCUCUCAUUAACAUUAACUCGAUGUUACGAUUAAUAGUACCUAAAUUGAUUUAGGUGGAACUAGGGAUGAAUGAAUGAGUUCAUAGGGUCAACUAUAACAUCAAUUGAGUCUUUGCAAUUAGUGUUGGUAUUACGUUCAUCCCGACCUGAGUUAUUGAUCGAUCACUCUGAGUUGAAAUGAGCUCUCAUUAGCAUUAAAUUAAUGUUAAGAUUAAUAGUACCUAAAUUUAUUUAGGUGAAACUAGGGAUGAAUGAAUGAGUUCAUAGGGUCAACUACAACUUCAAUUGAGUCUUUGCAAAUGGUGUUGGUAUUACGUUCAUCCCGACCCAAGUCGUCAAUCGAUCACUCUGAGUUGAAAUGAGAUCUCAUUAAUAUUAACUUAAUGUUAAGAUUAAUAGUACCUAAAUUGAUAUAGGUGGAACUAGGUAUGAAUGAAUGAGUUCAUAGGGUCAACUAGAACUUCAAUUGAGUCUUUGCAAUUAAUGUUGGUAGUACAUUUAUCCCUACCCAAGUCAUCGAUCGAUCACUUCGAGUUAAAAUGAGCUCCCAUUAACAUUAAAUUAAUGUUAAGAUUAAUAGAACCUAAAUUGAUUUAGGUAGAACUAGGAAUAAAUGAAUGAGUUCGUAGGGUCAACUACAAAUUCACUUAAGUCUUUGCAAUUGGUUUUGGUAUUGCGUUCAUCCCUACCCAAGUCAUCGAUCGAUCACUGUGAGUUGAAAUGACCUCUCAUUAACAUUAAAUUAAUGAUAAGAUUAAUAGCACCUAAAUUGAUUUAGGUGGAACUAGGGAUGAAUGAAUGAGUUCAUAGGGUCAACUACAACUUUAAUUGAGUCUUUGCAAUUGGUGUUGGUAUUGAGUUCAUCCCAACUCGAGUCGUCGAUCAAUCACUCUAAGUUGAAAUGAGCUUUCAUUAACAUUAACUUAAUGUUAAGAUUAAUAGUACCUAAAAUUGAUUUAGGUGGAACUAGGAUGAAUGAAUGAGUUCAUAGGGUCAACUACAACUUCAAUUAAGUCUUUGUAAUUGGUGUUGGUAUUGCGUUUAUCCCGACCCGAGUCGUCGAUCGAUCACUCUGAGUUGAAAUGAGCUCUCAUUAACUUAAUAUUUUAAAAACUAGUAUAUCUUUUGAAAUUUUAAAAAUUAAUUAAGAUCAAUUCAGACCAAAUUAAUAAAUUCAAAACUUGUCAUUCUUUUCUAAAAUUACAAAUCAACCCAUACAAAUUAUCUAUUUGCGGGAAAAACUUUCUUUAUUUUAAAUAUCAAGUUUUCGCUCCUCUCUCUCUCUCUCUCUCUCUCUCUCUCUCAACAUUACAGACAACAACUACUCAACAUAUUGCUCAAACCUUCAAAACAGAUCAAUUUUCUUUCCAUUUUCAACCACGUAGUCAUUAUUUUUGACUUCAUUAUCGCUUGUAUCCGUCGUUUUCUCUGUCUUUUUAGUUAACAGAGUUUGAGAAGAGUUCUACAUUUGUUCUUUAUUGUAUAAAUAAGGGUUUUUUAGUUAAUGAUGAAAAAGAAGACUUUUUAGUUGUAUUAUCUUCGAGAAUGAGUUAACAAUUUUGGGUUUUGAUGCUAAAAAAUGUAGUAAGCACCCGAGAAAAUUCUAGUUUUUGUCUCAGUGUUUGGUUACUAUUGUGGUAUUAUUCGAUGGUGUUUUUGGUGUUGUUGUUGGUGUCGGUAUUUAUAUUUUUAGUGGUGGUGUCGGUGGUCUUGGUGGCAUUGGUGGUGGUCUUGGUGGAAUUGGUGGUGGCAUUGGUUGUGGUGUUGGUGGUCUAUCUAUUGGAACAGGUGGGAUAUCUGUUGGGAGAUAUUAAAUAGGUCUUCAAACAAAUUUUCCAUCUGUUCCAACUGAUGGGUUAUCCGUUGGAGUAUUUUUUUUGUAAUGUGGCGUAGAAUAAUUUAUUAAAAUUUGCCUUACCUUUUUUUUAAAUUAUGCAGACAUCAAAUGUAAUGUAUUUUUUAUUUUUCUAUUGUUUGUAGUUAAAAGAUGUCUCCCAAAAGAAAAGAAACUAAAAGUGGAGCAACUUCUGACCACCCAAUAAAAAUGGCUAGAGUACAGAUAGAUUCGGAGGAACUUCCUGAACAAUCUCAGUCGGGGCAAAAUAAAGCCGAGGAAAGUGAUAAAUCCUUCUCACCAAUAGGGCAUGAAAUAAUAUCAAAAUCCUAGCAUGAUUCUAUCAAAACCAUUAGUAUCAACAGGUUUCGAGUUGCGAUGCCGAUGGAUAGCCCUGACAAAGUAACUGGUGAUCUUGUACUUACAUGUAAGUUGGGGAAAGUUUUGAUGAAUUAAGGAGAAUUAUGAAGAAUAAAAACAUAGGUGGACUUUUUAACAAGAGCUGCUUUGCAUACUUUCUUGAGUAUCCUGAGGACUGUACUCUCUAUUUUCCAAUGAGCAUGGUAUAUGGUCUUCUCAAGCGUAGGAUCAAGUACGUGGGGGAUGAUAAAGAUUCGAAGGACGGAGAAAAAAGAUGGAUGAAAUUUCAAUCAACUACUGUGGCAUGCCGGUUUAUUUUGGGUUAAAAGAGUUUGCGAAAGUGAUGGGCUUGAGAUGCGAUCUUCUAGAAGAAUAUCUCAUUAAGGAAACACCCCACAAAGGGUCCAAUAAAUGCAAAGAAAAAAAGAUGGGUUGUUGGGCAUUAUUGGAUGUAGUAUCUACAAAGCGGAGGAUUUGAUGACAGAUCUCGAGGAUAAAGACAUACCAAAGUACUGUAGGGAGAAAUUGUGCUUAUUUUGGUUUGUCCAUUCCCUUUUAUUGGCAAGAGAUGUCAGGAAAGUCAUAGAAGAUAAUUUGUUGGCGCUUGCUAGUGAUUUUGAUAAAUUUCACGAUUAUCCCUGGGGAUAUGACAACUUCUACUUGACUGUUGAAUAGUUACUAAUAAAGCUAUUUCCAAAGACGAUCACAUUAUAUGGCUUUCCUCAGGCUUUCAUCGUAAAAUUGAUCACUAUUUUUACUCAUCCAUUAAUUUAUAAUGAAUAUAGUUAUUAUGAAUUUUUUUGCUUGCUUCCUAUUUACAUUUUUUAGGCUUGGGUAUGUGAAGCCAUUCUUCCCCUCCAAAAGCGGUGCAAGGAUAACCCGAAUGAGAUUUCUCAUCCAAGGAUCCUUAAGUGGUUGGCGGUUACAAAGGCAGCAAAAAAUAUAUUAAGGAGCAGGAGGCUGAUAUAAUUAACCCUUUGGAUGAUGUAGUAAAUCUUCUUUCAACUAAAAUAAUUUGCCUCAAGGAAAGAUAUUAAAACAGAUAUUCCAUCUGUUGUGAUAGAAGGGUCGUCUGUUGCAACAAAUUACCCGUCAACUACAACUGGUGCAAUAAAUGGGUAAUCUGUUGCGAUAGAAAAUUCAUAUUUCAUAACAGAUUAAUAAUCUGUUACUCUAGUUCUUUGAACUCGACUCAAUAGAUUACCCAUCUACUGCAAAUUAUGCAAUAGAUAUGUAAUCUGAUGCAACAUAUUGUUAAUUUGUUGCAACAUACAGAUCAGCUGUUGCGGCAACUAGAUCGUCUGUUAUAUAAGUUGGUUGUGUUAACAUCCAUGCAACCUAAUUAACUGCAAAUUAUUAUUAUAUGAUUUAAAUGCCUCCUGUCUUUUUUUAUAGGUUGUGUAUCCUUGGAUCGUGCCUACCAUUGAUGAGUUAGGGAUGACUUCUUUUCUUACCCAGGUCUUGUUAAUAUAAAAGAAGACCCAAUGGUGGAGUUAAUAAAUAAGGAAUUGGCUAGAGCAACAUCCAUAAGAAGAGCAGUUAGGCAAGUUCAGCCUUAUGUUGAAGCUCUUCACGACCAACCUCAAACUGUAACAAAUCCGGGUGCUUCUUCUAGGUGUGUUGAUGGUGGAGUUGUUGGUGAUGGUGGUAGCUAUCCUGAUACUGCUGCUACUACCAGUCGUGAUUAUGAGCAUUUUGAUGCUCAGAAAAAAAUAAAUACGUUUGAAAACAUCCCUUGCACAGGUUCCUCUCUCCACUACAUCGGUCCCUCCUACACUUACAGUAGUCUCUCUCACCCCUCUUCACCCUCAUAUUCUUAUUACAAAUGCAAAGUAUGCAAUGACAAAGACGAUAAACUCCUUAAAAAUCUAGAGGCUAUUGCUGAAGCUACCGAGGAGUUGAAAUCUAGGAGGGGUGUCAUACCAUCUAAAAAGGUGAUGAAACCAUGCAUUCAUUUUCCGCCAAAUACUUCACGAAUAAUUCUUGGAAAAAAUCAAGAAUAGCAAGAUGAAGGUUCGGAAAGAAUACACCAUGCAUUCAUUUGCCGCCAAAUACUUCACGAAUAUGACAAAUAUGCGUGAGUGUUACGAGGAUAAUGUAAGUUUACUUUUGCUAACCUUGCCUUCCAAUCUACUCCAUGAAGAAGAAUCUACGCAGCAGAUGUGUAAUCUAUUGCAAUAGAUUGGUAUUCUAUUGCAACAUAAUACACAUCUAUUGUAUAAGUUGCGUUAGCUGGGUAAUCUAUGAACUAAUUCAGAUAACUCUCUGCAAUAGAUUCUUUCCACUGUAUUUUUAUUCUUUACAAUUACUAACCUAUUUAAAAAUUAUAUUCUUAUACCACAGUAUAUUGAUGAAAUUCUCUACCUCAUGAGGGGCAGACAAUUAGUGUACCCGGAUGCUUAUGAUGUUGCCGAUAGGAUAAUGGACCUCAACUUCUACAAUAAUUUCAAAGAUAGGUACGAUGAUCUCUGUAAGCUAGCUGAUUCUGGUAGCCCGAGAUUUGAUAAAUUAGUUUCUACAUUCCAAUGGGAUGAAGAAGUGAUUAAAUAUGUUAGAGAAAAGAUGCCAUAUCCACACGGCCAGAGAAUCCUUGCGGUCAUGAACGUGGAAGUCAAAUAUUUUCUCACUGUUGAGAUACUAGUCUAUGAGAAAAAGAUUAAGGUUUAUGACUGCAACUUACCUUCCUUCAGCGAGGACACAUUGUUAGCCCACAUGCAUCCACUCUUGAAGUUGUUGCCGAAGUUGUUGACGCAGAGUAAGAUGAUGGAUCUUUUGCCGACGAAAGUCUUGAGAAAGGAAUCAUGGGUUUUUGAAGGUCGAAAUAAGAACAUCCAUCUCAAAAUAAAUAGAACCGAUACAGCAUGCGGGCUUUACUCGCUUGCAUACAUCGAGUAUUUGCUGAUCAACAGAGAAAUGACCGAUAUAUUCGACACCGUUGUGGGAAAGAUGAAAUAGUUUUGGGCUUAUGGGGUACUUACUAAAUGGUUGGAGCCCAUGAAUAAAAAAUAUGUACAAAGACAAAAACGAACACGAUAAUAAUUUUUCAUUUCAAGCCACUUCACUUUACAUUUAGUGGCAAUAAUUUUUAUGUCUGGCCAAGUUAAAUUUUUAUAAUGCAAUAGAUUUUAUAUAUGCUUUAACCGAUAUAAUACCUGUUAUGAAAAAUUGAUUAUCUGUUGGAAUAGGUUGGUCAUCUGUUGCAUUAUGCAGAUGUUUCUCUAGUCUGUCUGUCGCAACAGAUAUACAAUCUGUUGCAACAUAUAAUAUAUCUGCUGCAAUUGAUAGGUAAUCUAUUGGAACAAAUCAAGAAAGUAGGAAGACCUUCUAUAUAGUGUCCAGUAGAUGACCUAACUAAAUGGUUGGAGCCCGCGUAUAAAGAAGAAUAUGUACAAAGACAGAGACGAACAUGAUAAUAAUUUUUUAUUUCAAGUCAUCUCAAUUUACAUAUAGUGGCAAUAAUUUUAUGUCUGCGGAUAGUUGAAUUUUUAUAAUGCAGCAGAUAGUAUAUCUAUUUUAACAUAUAUAGUACCUGUUGUGAUAGAUUGAUUAUCUGUUGGAAUAGGUUGGUCAUUUGUUGCAUUAAUAGAUGUUUCCCAGUCUGUCUCUCAUAACAGAUAUCUAAUCUAUUGGAACAUAUAAUCUAUCUGUUGCAACUAAUAGGUAAUCUGUUGAAAAAAAUCAAGAAAGUAGGAAGACCUGUUAUAUAGUUUCCAGCAGAUGACCUACAUGUUUCAACAUAUGUCUACAUUUGUUUGAUAAGAUAUGUCGUCUAUUACAGCAGAUGUAUUAUCUAUUGCGAUAUUUGAAUCUAGUAUUCCAUUUCAAUUAAGAUGUUCAAAACUAAGGAUUAAAUUAUAUUCAUAGACAACAUAAAAUAAGUUGAAGCCUUCGGAAAUUAUACGAAAUAACUCAACAAAUAAAUGAAAUAUAAAAAAAUCAUUAUGGUUACAAAUGAUAUAUACUCUACAAAUAAAUCAACAACUUAAAUCAAGAAGGAUAGGUUAUUACUUGACGAACUCAAGCUAUAAAUAUCUACUCAAUAUGGACUAGUUGUUCUCCAUCUGGUGUUGUGGAAUUCAGCUUUGGUUGUCAUGGAUCUUUAAUGUCGCUUGCGUAUGGCUUUUGAGCUUUUGCUUCUCCGUAUUUUCAUAAAAGAGAAGUAUAUCUUUUGUGGAGUAAUUUGACAUCAAGUCCAUCAUUUGGUACCUUUAAUCCAUCGCUCAAAUACUCAGCGUACGUGGCAACAAAAAGAUCUCAAUCCCUGUGUUGUAAAAAAUAGAUAAUCCAUAUCUUGCAGUUCAUGCAAGCAUUGUGAAAUUUGUGAAAUAAAACGAAAUCAUGACACUUAAACUUACAGGCUACCAAUGAUUUGUUGAGAAAUUCCUUCAACAUAUUGUACAUCAAAUGGAUUCCCCAUUUAUCCCGGUAUGCUUCAUUCGUCGAUCAAUCAUUUCAAACCUUUUGGUCUAAAAAGCCACUCAUAUCAAGGUAAGUAGGCAAUAUUUUGGCAAGCUUUUGUAUCUCAAAUGACGGCCCAGAACUUCUACUUCACGAUAUUGAGUAAUAAACUUGGAUGUGCUUCUCUUUUAGAACGACGACAGCUAACACUUAAUGGAAUUCAUCACCACAAUUGAUUUGGAUGUACACUUCGUUGACCAAAUGCCAAGGUAAGCUAGCCGAAAUGCUAAAACCUUUGAUGAUGUUGAUUAAGCAUUCCUCAUUUUGGAAAAUUUUUGGUUGUUGUUGACAAUACCUAUCGUAGGCAUUAUUGAUAUAAACUUUGUACAAAUAAUUGUCUAUCGUAUAUCUAUAUUGUUCUUGUGUUUUCAACUUGGCCUUUUUCAGAGGUAGUAAAAAAUGACAUCGAUGUGCUGCACCUAUUAUCAAAUAUUUCAAAUUACGUGAUCAAAAAAUUAAUACGCAGAUGUAAUUAAAUAAAGUAUUAAUUAAUAGUAAUAUGUAUCGCAUUUAAACCUCAUCAUUCCAGUAAGUUUGGGGCUAUGACAUCAAAUAGAACCAAUUCUUCAUUUCGAGAUUACAAAAACAAAGUCGAACAUAUCAAAACCAAGACUCGAUUCGUUCACUUUGUAGUGUUUGUCAUUUUGUUUUCUACAUGAUGAUUUAUAUGUUUUAAUGUCAUGUUCUUACAAUAAGAAUUGUAUAAACCAAUAUCUUUAAAAUUAGUUUAUGUACCUGCUGGCAUAAUGCUUUAACAGACCAUCGACAAUCUAUUCCGAAUAUUUGUUGAUCAACUGUGUUAGUUUUUUUGGAGCCUCAUUCGAGAUAUUGAACCCUUCAAAUGGGUAAUUCUUUUGUUCUUUCAAACUGACAGGCUCCAAUUUUUCUUCUUGUUUGGAAGUAGUUGAUGAAUUAUUAACUGUGAUAUUAUGCUCUUCAGCAGUAGCUUUUAUUGUGACAUCUACCUGCAAAGCUAGAAAUUUAUCAAUCCUAAUUAUAGAUAUACAAUAAAUUAUCCAUCUGUUGCAACAGGUGAGUUUUAUAUUGCAAUAGAUGGAUCAUCUAUUGGGAUAAAUUCAAACAAGUAAAUCAGAGUAGUACGAUAAUUUCGAACAGAUGACCCAUCUGUUACAAUAUAAGACUCAUCUAUUGCAACAGAUAACGUAUCUGAUGUAACAGGUUAGACAACAGUUGCAAUAGAUAUAUAUAUCUAUUUGAUAAUUUUCAGUAGAUGUAUCAUCUGUUGAAAUAGAUAUGUGCCUAUUCUUUUAUUGGAACAGGUGAUGUACAUUCACCUUCUUCAGCUCAUGUGUCUCUCUUGUAGUCCUUGAAUACUGAACAAUAGUGCAAAACAAAGACAGAGGUAUUGCAAUUUUGCUUUUUUUAUGCUUGAUGAUGCCUUGGAAAUCUCUUUCCUUCUCCUCUUAGCCACCUUGUUCUCUAGUGAAGUGUAUAGCUAUGAAAUCCUCUUUGAUGGAAUGACACCUCUCUUAGAUGCCAUUUCCUUUACAGAAGAAGUUAGUGCAUUAAUAGCAUUAAUCACUCCAUCGUGUUUCACCUUGCAGUCUUGACAUUUGCAUGCAGAACAUUUGCUAGAUGUGGCAAAAUCUGGUGAAAAAUCUAUACAACCAGUAUGAUCAUAAUCAUAAUGACUUAUUGCUUUAAAAACUAUAAGAGGAGCAUCAUUAGCCCCAACAGCAGCACCACUACCACUACCAUCAUCAACAGCAACAAUCCCAUACUCCAAAAUUAUUUUUCUUCUGAUGGUUGUUGCUCCAAACAAUUCCAUUUUAUUCUAUUAAUGACCUUAAGGUCCGAUAAAGUUUGCAUAGACCGUAAAGUAAGAAAAAAUGACAUCUUCAACUCUCGGUUGGUCAGAACAAGCCAUGGAUGGACAAUCUAAAAUAAAUCAGUACAUAUAUUAAAAUAAUGAUGAAAUCAUUUAAAAUAAUCAUUAAUUAAAAUAAAAACUUGAUUAGAAUUGGAUUUGCUACUUCCUUCGGGGGGUUGAAAAGAUCAAGAAAUUUUGUGUUUUUAUCAGUUUUGUUUGACAACCAUCUCAGAAUUCUUGGACAGGAAGCUUCUUCCUAGUAGUUCAUUUGUUGUCUCAAAUAAGGUAUGACUUCAAAUGCUCAAGCCUAUAACAUAACGCCAAUAAAUCAAAAGCAUUAUUGAAUAAAAAAAUGAUGAAUCAUAUCAUGAUAAAAGAAAUAUUUACCAUGAAGGCCCAUGAAAAGCCAUAUAAGUUGACUGUCUUUGUCGUUAAUAGAGUCAACAAAUAUUGGAUAGUCAUUUUGAAGCUUUCAUAACCCCAAAGAUAGCUGUUAAAUGCCUCAAGAUCCUCAGAGAGAUUUAUUAAACCAACGCUUAUAUUGUUGUUAGUGUCUCUCGCCCAAAGAAUAUUAUGUACAAACCAAACCAAGCACAAUAAUUACUUAUGCUUCUUUAAGAGUCUUUUACCUUUCAAUGCUUCUAUCAAAUUUUUAUUUUUGAAGCUUGGACCAACAAUCAACACGAGGUCAUCAUGAUCACUCGACUUGCCUUUGCCUUUUUUGGGUGUGCGGGGUGAUUUUUUUUGGUCAAAGUAGGUAUAACUUGAGAAGGAGAAGGAGAAUAACAUUUUAGUCCGGUAACUAUGGAAAACUCCUUCCAAUACAAAAAACAGGCAUGCCACAAUAAUUUAUUCAUACCUCAUCCAUCUUAUCUUUAUUUUCAUACAUAAACCUAUGCUUGAGAAGAUCUUAUACAACUUUUAUCUGGAAACGAGUAUUGUUGUCCUCCGGCAAAUUAAGAUAUUGCCAAAGUAGCUUUCCCUGAAAUAAGCAUCCAAUUUUUUUUCUUGAAGUAUUUUUCUGAAGGCGUCGAAAGAUUUUCCCAUGGAUUACUUAACCACGAAAUUACCCGUUAAAUCUGUGGCACCAUCACACUGCAUUCUCACAGGAUAAUGAUUAAUGCUGAAGGUUUUGACCAACUCUUCAGCGGAAGGGCUAUUAGCAUUUGGAUCAUCUCUUUUGAGAUAUUUCUCCUCCCCGUGUUCAUUAUCUUCUGCUCCUAAUUGAGAUAACGCUUGUAAAGCAAGCUCAUAGAGUAAUGGAUGUAGCUGAACUGCUACACUUGUUCCUUUACUUGGACUUGAUUCGUUUUUUUUCUUUUGGGAGCCAUAUUAUCUUAAAUUAAUAGGAACAUAAAGUAGAUUACAAUUGAUUAAUGCAUCAUUAAAAAAUGGAUAAUAGUAAAUCUAACAUGCACAACGGUAAAAUAACAGUUCUAACAGACCACACAUCUGUUGCACCAAGUAUGUUAUUUGUUGCAAUAUAUAACCGACCUGUUGCAAUGGAUGAGUAAACCAUUGGAAAUAAUAAAAACAGAUCUCUAAUUUGUUGCACCAAAUAUUUUAUCUGAUGCAACAUAUAACCAACCCGGAUGCAAUGAGUAAAUCAUUGAAAAUAAUAAAAAUGAAUCUCUAAUCUGUUACACCAGGUAUUUUAUCUGAUGCAACAUAUAACCAGCCUGGAUGCAACAGAUGAGUAAACCGCUGGAAAAUAUAAAAAUAGAUCACUAAUCUGUUGUACCAAGUAUGUUAUCUGUUGCAACGUAUAACUGACUUGUUGCAACGGAUGAGUAAAUCAUUAGAAACAAUAAAAAUAGAUCACUAAUCUGUUGCACCAGGUAUUUUAUCUGAUGCAACAUGUAACCAACCGUUGCAAUGGAUGAGUAAAUCGUUGGAAACCAUAAAAAUAGAUUACUAAUCUAUUGCACCAGGUAUUUUAUCUGAUGCAACAUAUAACCAAUCAUUACAAUGGAUGAGUAAACCAUAAGAAUAGAUCACUAAUCUAUUGCACCAGGUAGUUUAUCUAUUGCAACAUAUAACCAACUGUUGCAAUAAAUGAGUAAUCCGUUGGAAACCAUAAAAAUAGAUCACUAAUCGGUUGCAUCAGGUAUGUUAUCUGUUGUAACAUAUAACUCACCUGUUGUAACGGAGGAGUAAAUCAAUGGAGACAAUAAAAAUAGAUCACUGAACUGUUGAAACAUAUCACUCAUCUGUUUCAAAAUGGGUUAUAUGUUGGAUUAAUAUUGUUUAGAUUUCUUCCAAACAGAAGAGUCAUCUGUCGUAAAAGAUGAAUGAUAUGGUAGAUUGUUCAUUUGUUGCAUCAGAUUUUAAUCUGUAGUAUCAGAUAUUUUCAUCUAUUGCAUCAGAUAUCUUCAGCUGUUGCAUCAAAUGUUUCAUCUGUUGCAACACUAUUUUUACUAAGAUAAACAAUAAAUCAAUCCAGCAACACCAACACAUUGCACAUACACACUAAGAACAUCAACUGUGAACACAAAUCACCAACAAAUCCGAAUCAAUAAUACGACAACAAGAAGAAGAAAUACCAAAAAUUACAUUUUUAUUUAGUCCACAUUUCUAUACUAGAAGAGUAGUUGGCUCAAGUUCCUCUGUUUCUUCAUAAUUUUUUACCUGUGAAAAAAGAAAUGGGAUGACGAAGAACUCUAAUUUAUUGUCGUUGGAUUUUUUUUAUGUCGAUUGAUGGUUGAAAGUCAAAAGGGAACUCGCCCGACUAUUUUCCACCAGAGGUUGAAGUCACUGGGGAUUGAAGGGAGAAUUUUGCAGAACUAUUGGUUGGGAGAGAGUUGAGAGAGAGAAGAGAGAGAGGCAGGUUAAUUUGGAUUGAAGAGGGGUGUGGGUUGAUUUGUAUUUUUAAAAAGAUUAGAAAGUUUUGAAAAUAUUAAUCAAAUUCAUAAUUAACUUAAUCAAGUUUCCUAAUGAUGUUUUACCCUUUAAGUUGGUCAAUAUCAUCAAUCCUUCAUUCAAGACUUAAUAGACACCUUUCCUUUAAUUUUCUCAAAUAACUGUGUAGGAUUAAAUUUAAUUGCAGAUACAACCUAGUAAGAUAUAUACGGAUCUAAAGUGUCAGGUGGGGGUCCUCUGCGGAUCUAUAGUGUCGAGUGGGGGCUCUACCGUAGAUCCCAUAAAUAUAUUAAAAAAAAGUCAAUAAAAUUUUAUAGAUGGGAACUCAUACACAAACUGAAGGCUUGCUUGAUGGCGUAGAAGGUACUCUUACAUUGCUUAUGUUACCCCAUAAACAUGGGAUUACAUAGUAUUAUUUUACUAGAAACUCACUAGUUUAAAAUCCUAAAUUCGACUCUGUAAAUAUUGUUUAUGCUAAUACUACAUAUAUUUAUAUAUUUACAUUUAUAGUUAAAUUCAUACAAGGUGCGUAGUGUAAAUUUACAAGGGUGUGCUAAGAAUUCAUUUUAAAAUUAUUGCCGAUGAGUUUCUAAUAGAGGCCGUGUGUGGAAGAUUGCUUAGAGCAUUAAAGACUUGAAGCCUCACGAUUAUGGAUCACACUUAAUGGCUCACAGUUUUUGGAGCAUUGAAGAGCUUUAAAACACUCCAAAACUGCCACUCUACUUAAGAGUGUUUUGUUCAUUUUGUGCCAUUUCCUUACACUCCAUAGGAGUUCCUUUCAUUAAGGGCAUUAGGGUCAUUUUGAAAUAACUAUAAGUAGGCUCUUUAGGGUUCAUUUCAUACUUAGUUGUUUAUUGAUGUAAGACAUGAAAUACUUGUGACACCUAAGACUCUCUCUUUAGAGUGUAUAACCUUAGAGUAGGGCUUGGAAAAGUCAUCCCUACCGUAACUAGGGCUGCCCAAGUCUGGAAUCACUUGAGUUGCAUUUUGGCGUGAGACGUUGGUGCUAGAGGAGAUAAAGUCCCUCUUGUGUCUCCGUAGGAGUUAGGUGAUUGUCUUGUGUAGGUGUUAAGGGUCCUUAAAUUUGAUAUAUCUUAGGGUUCUUAGGAUUUACAUCCUCAUUUGUCUAACCAUCUAUCUAUUUAUCUAUUUCAAAUCGUGUGUUUUGUGUUUGUGUUCUUGUUGCCAUUUGUGCCUAGUUCUAGUGGACUAUUUUGUAACAUUUUUGUGGCUAUUUUGUGACUUUUUUGGUUGAUCUUGUAUCAUUCCAUCCUUCUACCCGCCUUAGCAAGUCUAUCCGCAACUCUAUUUGCCUUCCGUCCCUCAUGGCACACUUACGGUCUCCCCAGCCGCUGAAGAAGAUCCCUACACAAUGUAAUAAGAUUAAUGUUAGUCACAAGAUCAUUAGUGUAGAGUGAAGCUAAAAUAAUGGAAUCAGUGGAAAUAGUCAAUUUGCUGUAAUUUAUAUGCAGUGCUAUAGAUAAGCCAAAAUAGAGUGCAGUAAUUUCAGCUUCAAGUGGUGAAGUUACACUAAUCCUUGCGUGGAAGCCUUUAACACAGUUACCCUUGUUAUCACAAAAUAACCCUCCCAUUCCACCUCUCCUACUCUUAUAAUCAAAGGACCCAUCAACAUUGAGCUUCCAUCCAUCCAAAGGGGGGACCCAACAUUUAAAGCUUGCAGUUUUUGGAAAGCUUUGGUUAAUAACUAGCAUAUGGUAUUCUAGUGCGUGCUUAUAGGAAAGGGUUGUAGGAAUAGAGUUCUUCCUAUUGUUAAAGGAAUUGUCAUUUCUUGUGAGCCAGAUAUUCCAUAGAUAAAAGGAAAGACAUCACUCCAAAUCAUGUAGGUUCCUAUGAGUAUGUUGCUCAUUUUCCAAAUUCUAUCGAUUCGUUCUUUAAGAUAGAGGUCUUUAAAAGUCUCUAUAAUCUCGGUCAUGUUGUUAUUAUGCCAGAACUACAAUGCCAUAGGGUGUAGACACGUGAUUUUUGAUCCUCCUCGAAUUUUAACUUAUUUUUUGAUAUUAAAUAUUUAUAUUUGAUGCGAUAUAAUUUAUUUCUUAUUUUAUUUUAAUAAAUUUGUAGUUGAAAAAUAAAUAACUAAAUAAAGUUAAUUUUGAGAUAUAUUAUCUUUUUAUUUUUAUUUUAAAAAUAAUACAAAAAAUAAGGAAAAUAUUUUUCUUUUUUAAUUUUUAAAUAAAUAAGCUAGUAUUUUUAGUACUAUCUUAAUUAUAUUUAUUUUUGACUAUUUAUAAACUUUUAUUGUAUUUUCUUAAAUAAUAUCCUAUCUGAUGUAACUGUUCCCCCCAAAGUCCUUUUAUUUAAGGACUUCCCUCUACUCAAACAGCCCAGAGAAUUCUACGUACUAUUCUCACCACCUAUACUGUAUUACACUCUCACCACCUAUACUGUAUUACACACAACAAAAAAAAAAGAGCGUGAAAAACUAGAGAGCAAAAACCAAAGAAAGACAAAAGCAUCAAACAAAAGAGAGAAAAGAAGAAAGUCAAAGUUGGAGUUCCGGUCAAAUUUUUGGUGACAAAUUUUAUUGUUCAGUUUAAAACAUUCAGGUUCUUAUUCAACUCUAUAUUUAUUUUUAUAAGUUUUUGUUAUAAAUAAAGUUAUAACAUAUAUUUUUUUUAGUAAUUUCAUGAAUUGUUGUAGGUAAAUUCGAUGUAGUAUCCUGUUUUAUCUAUGUGAUCCUUUAUUCAAGUAUCUUGUGAAUGUUAUUAAUAGUGAAAAAUGAAAUUAAUAGAAUGCAGUAAGCUGUCUGAUUUUUCAUGUGUAUAUAACAAAAACAUUGUAAAAAUUGCUUACACAGUAUUUCACUUUUUCACAGAUGCACACAAAACAUCAACACAUACACAUACUAUUUUUUUAGUGAGCACACAUUCUCACUUUCUCCCUUUCCGGUCAUAAAUAUGUUCUGACACAUUCACACACAACAAAAAGAGAGAAAGAUAGUAUCCAGCGAGUGAAUGAAAGAAUAAAAGAAAAACGGAGGAGAAAUAAUAGAAAAUCAGUAAAAAAGAAUAGAGAGAAAAAGGGAGAAAAACAAAUCUCAAAUCUCAUUAUUCCGGUGAUGUUUUCACCGAACAUGGCAUUCCCUCGCUGGAAAAUGUCACCAACUUUAAACUCCGGUCAAAAUCAGUGACCAACACACCAAAAUAAUCUGAAAUCCAGCUGACUAAGCACAUGUGUCAUUCCAACCAACUCCAAACUGCCGUAAAAUCAACAAAACUAUGCCGCCCCACACUCCUCCCCCAGAUCUGCCGUCAGCGACACCCUCUCCCCUUCCUGUCAGUCGGAAAGACCCCCUUACCCGCCAAAGUAUUGGUCAAACUCACCGGAAGACACAACCAACCACGCCGGCGACCCUCCAUUGACCAGCACAAUCUCGCUGCCUACAAAAUCAUUAAAUCAGUUAACCCCCUUCCUUCUCUCUUUCCAGCCGCUGCCAUCAUCAAUGGCCGACGAUCCGACCUCCACCAUCCCCUUUUCCAUUACCCCACCGGCCAACUCCGGCCAGUGACCAUCUCUAUUUUAAAAAAUGACACUACCAACUCCGGCCAGUGACCAUCUCUGUUUAAAAAAAUGACUCUAUCUCUUUCUGUUAAUAAUAUUAAUUAUCAUGAGAUUUUUAUGCAGACUAUUAAAAUGUUAAUUUUAAAUAUCUUUGGAAAUUUACCUUUUACUUCAUUAGAAAUUAUAUUAAUUUCCUUAUUUGGUAAUGUUUCAUCACUUAUCAACUUGCAAUUAAAAAUACAAUAUUAAUUUAAAUCCUCAUUAUUUUAAAUAAUUAUAUUUCAUUUAGAUUUAAUAUAUCUUUCUUUUCGGGUUGCUUAAUUUUUCUUUCAUGAAUUUAUGUUUAAAUCAGAUUAUUGGAAUUUUUUAUGUUUAAUUUAUCUUAUAAAAUAUGAUUUGAGUUUUGAAUGAAUUUAAAGAGAUUAAAUUUAGGGAUAAUAUUAAAUUUAGUGUAAUAUAGGUAGAUUUAUGAAUUUUAUUUAUUUUAUUAUUAUUUCAACAAAAGUUAAUAAUUAUUUAUUGAUUUAAUUAAUUGUAUUAAAUGAAUUUUGAUUUAAUUUAUCAUUAGGAAUUUAGAAAAAUUUUAGACGCGUUCUAAAAUAUUUGUUUAAAUUAAGAAUGCGGCGUAUGCAUCUUUCUGAGACAUUUUAAAAAUUCAAGAAUGCAAUAAUGCACCUUGAUAAAUAUUUUUCUAAAAUUAAUUCCCACCGAUUUAUUUAACGUAAAAGAAAUAGGUAGCCAACGAUUUUAGGCUUUAACAUAAUUUAUAAAAAAGAAUUUUAGCCAAGAUAAGUCAAUAAAAGGAACCGUUCUAGAACCACGGGACUCAAGGGGUGCCUUACACCUUUUCUUUGGUCAACAAAUUCUUACCCGGUCUUCUGUUUUUGCAAACCAAAAUAAAAGAGUCAUUUCCUUUUGACUAGGGAUUCAAAAGUUGACUUGGAACACCAUAACUCAAUUCCAAGUGGCGACUAUGUAAAUAAACUAACCCUAUUCAAAAUCGUCACUUUAAUUGGAAAAACCCUUCGACUCAACCCUCGACCGAAAAGGGGUGUGACAUCUUUGGCGACUACGCUGGGGAAAUAUAAGAAUUCGAGCUUUUUAUAUUGACUUUUACUUGCUUUAAUUAUUUUUAUAUUGUGUUUGUUGGCCUAAUGUGUUAUUUGUCGCUCAUUUAAUACUUUGAUAAUGUUGAAAUGUAUUAUAAACUAUCUUCUCUCGUGCACCCCCUCUGAGUCUCUAAAAUAGGAUAGAAAGAAUGCAGCGUAUACAUCCUACUUUCUUUGUGAGAUAGCCAGAGAAAGAACCUGGUGAAGGAUUAUAGUCACACAUGUUAGGCGGGGUUCGGAUCGGCAACGAAGGCGGAGUAACACUUCUACCAAACAAGUUGUCUCUCCCCACUUGAGUGUUCGCUUGGGUAAGCCAGUCUAGACACCUAUCCCUUUUAGGCUAAACUUAGAAAAAUUGAAACUCAGAAUCUGGUUAUCUCUAUUAGGUUCCACUUUAUUUGUAUCAUAUGCAUUUGACUUAGCGGGACUCGGCACAGGGGCUGGGCCUGUCUAGGAUAGGUGUCCCUCUUUUGACCAAUAUGUGCAUCUUACGUGCUCUUUGAUGUUUAUUUGAAAGGCCAUUUGAUUAUUGACCGGCUUUUAGACAAUUUGGUGAAAUAUAAAGAGAAGAUUUUGUCCUCAAAUUUAAUAAUAUCCUUUUCAAAGAGAUUAAAAAAUAUACGCAGUCUUUUUUUAAAGGUCUUCAUGAACUACGAGGGUCUGAUUCUCACUCUUUAUUGAGAUACGUAGGAAUCCCUUUUCGGGGUACAUCCUAUCUUUUGAAAAAUUAUUCAUAGAUUUAUUGGAGAAUAUUUUGAAAAUAUGAUUACUUUCAUAAUUAUAUUUCUAAUCCUCAAGUCCAAUUUUUAUCUAUCUUAAUAGCCCUCAAUAUUUAGGGAUCAUGAGGCUAAGUUUUUACAAAAUAAAAUAUAUAUAAAUCUUAACAACCCUGAACCUUUAGGGGUCUUGAGGUUGAGUUAUAUGCGACAUAUAUUUCAAGAACUACGUAUACCUAAUUCUCAUCUUAAUGAGAUAUGUAAGCAGUCCUCAAUGGAUUUGGUGAUCUUAAAAAAUGGUUGUCUUUCCUUAUAACCCCCCCCCCCCUCCUCCCUCCCCCAAAAAAAAUGUUUUCAAAAAUAAAAAAUAUAUUAUUUGUUAAAUUCAAAAAUAAAAAAAAUUAUUUCUCAAUAUUCAAAUAAUUAAAAAAAGGUAUGUUUCUUCAUAUCUCUAAUUUUCACAAACUACGCACACCUGAUUCUCAUCUUAAUAUGAUACAUAGGCAGUCCUCCAUAGAUUCGGUGGUCUUAAAAGAAAAUUUUUUUAACUCUGACACAUUAGUUUUCUCCAAAAUUAAAAUAGUAUUAAGGUGGUUCAUUUAUGGCUAAGUUGGCUUCUCAAUCCAUCACAGAGGUUCAACGAAAAAAAGAAAGAUGACCUGCAAAGAGGGUAUGGGGUCUGACAGCGAGGAAGAGCAAAAUCAAUUGAUUUCACAGAUAGUAGCAUCAAUGGAAGAAAUUAAGUUAUUGAAACAACAGAUGGCGGAAAUAUACCAAGCUUGGUCAAAUGUACAAGCCCCGCCUGCCUCAACCCUUGGAUUUUCUAAUACAAAUGAUCCAAAUUCCUCUCAAGCUCAAACUGGUGAUCCAUUUUACGCACCUGAUUCAGCCCAUAUGAUAAUAUGUCUGGCGCUGUUGGUACUUCUAUCAUGUGCCCACCAAAUCCAUCUGUCACGAAUAAAACACUUUUCACUCCUGUAGCACCAGCUACUAUGGGUCCUUAAUUGACAGUACAAAAGAAUAUAGGUGAACCAAGUUAUGAUCAAUUGUAUCCUCCUGAAAUGACUUUUAAACCCCCAAAUCCACAUUAUUAUGCUCAUCAACAUGAUUCUCCUAUCGUGAUUGAGAAGAUUGUUAGAAGUGAAGAACAUGAUGAGAUGGUCAGGAAAGUGAGAAGCUUAGGGCAGAGUAUGAGAAAUAUGCAAGGAUUAGGAGGACCAAAAAGUAUUUCAUACAAAGAUUUAUGUAUGUUUCCUAACGUUCAUUUGCCGCUAGGGUUCAAAAUGCCAAAGCUUCACAAGUAUGAAGGUCAUGGUGAUCCAGUGGCACACUUGAGACGUUAUUGUAACCAAUUAAGAGGUGCAGCAGGAAAACAAGAAUUACUCAUGGCUUAUUUCGGUGAGAGCCUUUCGUGUCUAGCCUCAGAGUAGUUUGUGGAUCAGGACAUAGUCAAGUAAAGUAGUUGGGAUGACUUGGCUAACAAAUUCGUGCAACAAUUUCAAUACAAUGUGAAGUUAAUUCCUGAUGAGAAAUUCCUGACUAAUAUGAAGAAAAAGAAUAAUGGAAAUUUCAGGGAGUAUGCGAUUAGAUGGCAUGAAUAAGCUAUUAGGGUAAAACCGCCAAUGAAAGAAAUCAAAAUAGUAGAGGUAUUUAUUCAAGUGUAGGAUGAAACAUACUAUCAACACUUGUUACCUGCAUUAGGCAAGCUAUUUAUUGAGGUCCUUCGAAUGGGACAACUGAUAGAGGAUCGAAUUAAAACUGGUCGCAUUGUGAGUUUUGUAACAUUGAAAGAGACUACUCAAGCAAUUCAGAAGUGUUCAGGAAAUAUUGGAGGGAAGAAAAAUGAGGAAGAUGUAGCUGCUAUUAUAGCUGAACAACGUGCAUGUCGAAGAAGAUCACGUCGCCAUUACCCUCAGUCUCAAACCCAAGUUCAUGGCCAAGCUCCAUAUAAUCACUUCUUAAAUCAAUUAUCCUCUUUCCCCCACCUCCAUAUCCAAUAUAUAUCGUACAACCACAUGUUCAACCCCCAUCUAAUCCACAAUAGCACACACCAACCCCUUAGAGUCAUCAUCUAACUCCACAAACAUAUCAAAGCCCUUCAAGGCCCGAUUUUCGAUCCAAGCCAAAUAAUGAAAUAAUGUAGAAGUCGAGAGAUAACUUCAUACCAAUUGGAGAGUCGUAUGCCAGUUUAUUUCAUAGAUUAGUAUAGGAGGGCAUGAUCACUCCUCUCUUUGGGUAUACUCCUAAUCGGCGUUCAAAAUUUUUUUAUCCUAAUGUACGAUGUGGGUAUCAUUCUGAUGUUCAGGGUCGUAGCAUUGAAGAUUGUCAGGAUUUGAAAAGAUGAUUCAAGAUAAAUUAAUUAUAGUGCAGAGCAUUGACAGUGAGCAAAGCUCUAGUCAUGCUGAUAUACAAACCAGUGGAUAAGAUGUCAAGCUCAGCAAUCAGGAAGUCACUCUCCUCCUCACAAGGAUGAUUGUUUAGUAGUUUGUUUUGUUUUCCUUAAGGUUGUAGUUCUGAAUCUAUCUUUUUUGUUUCUUUGUCGUCUUUGUUUAAACCCUUCUAUUUUUUUUCUUUCAAUGAAAUAUGGUAUCCCUUGUUGUUUUAUCUUAUUUUAAGUUUGUUUCUUUGUCUUUUUUUCAUACAAUUCAUUUUAUGUUGAUUCUAGUGCUAUGGCAUGCCAGUAGAAUUUUUAGUCAGAUCUUAAAAUCCAGUUUAAUCACGAAACAUUGAAUUAGAGGGCUAAAGUUUGAAGAAAAAGACAUAUGAGAAAUAAGUAGAAUAUUAAGACAUUUGGUGACCAUGUUGAAGCCUUCUUUGAAAAUUAAGGAAAUUAUUUUGAGAAUCACAACAAUAACUUGGUCAUUAAUUGAAAAACAUGUCUCAAUUAGGAUAAAGAGUGGAUGCGAGAUCCCUAUUCAAGAGAAACAGGAAUAUAAUCAGCUCCACGAAAGCAUGAGUCAUUCAAUAUGAGGGAUGUACAACAAAUGUGGAGUUGUAGGUUUGACAAGUGUAAAAGAAGAAGUGGCACACGUGCUCAGUUAAAGUUAGUGUUAUUAAAGUGUAACACAUGAUCUUCAUCUCUCACAUCCUCAUUACAUGUUGUGUACUUGCAUUUUUAAGGAUUGAUAUGACGAAGGAAUUUCAUUCUUCUACCCAAAUGUUGUGCCAUCAUUUAUUAUCUCCUUUGUGCUUUCAUUUUUUUGUUCAUACACCUCUUUUGGAAUCAAAAUAGAGUCUGAAAAAAUUCAAAAAAAAAAAGAGAAAAAGAAAGUGUCAAGAAAAAAAAUAGAGUCAGAAAAAUGUCAAGAAAAGAAAAAGAGUCGGAAAAAUUUCUCUCUAAAAAAAAGAAGAAGAGGAGAGAAAAGUCAAGAAAAAAAAAAGAAAAGAAAAUCAAGCAAAAGAACAAAAUGUCUGAACUACGUUUGACUUGAUUCUUGUUAUGACAAGAAACUUAGUUAGACCUACUCUAGGGUUUGGUCCAACCAAGUAAAAAAAUUAAAUUUACCCAGUAUGAAAUAAAACUGAGGCAAAAAUUUGUUUCCUUAAGAGUCAAUUUCAAAAGUUGUAUGCUUACCUAAUGUCAUGUAUAUUUUUUAGCCUUAUGUCGUCCUUUCUUUAUUACCCUAUCCAAAAGCCAAGUUACAAUCAAAGAAAGGCUUUCAGAUCAAUCUUUGAGAAUGUCAAGGCUAAGCAUGUAUGGGUAUAUGAUGUUUCAUAUUGUGGGCACCAUAAGGUGAUAGUAAGUUUUGAGUUCAAUAAAAAUGAGAGAUCUUAUGGGUCAAAAUCCUUAUGGGCACCAUAAGGCGAUAGUAAGUUGUGAGAAGAAUAAGAAAUGAGAGAGUCUUAUUGGUGAAAACCCUUUUGGACACCAUCAGGCGAUAGUGAGCUGGGAAAGAAAUGAAAAUGAGAGAGUCGUUGGCAAAAAUCCAUUGAGGUGCCACUAGCCGAAGGAGGAUUGUGAUCUAGAGGGAGCAUAUUCAAGAUUGAUUCCAUUUCAAACUCAAUAAGUAGAAAAGAGUUGUAAUGAUUAGUGUGGGUAGAUCAAGUUAUUUAAUUCAAAAUGCAUGUCAUGAUUGUUGGAUUUGGCUACCACACCCAAAUAAGUUUUCUUCUGUCGUUUCGAAAAAAAAAAUGCCAAUUAUUUUUCCUUUUUCUUUUUAUUUUUCUAUUUUUUAUUUUUUGGCAUUUUUGUCAUCAAAUAAAAAUUAUUGUCAUUUUUAUCGUGUUUUUGAGUCGACACUUUGAGUUGAGUCCGUGUCAUAACAAGUGAGAAAAAAUUUCAAAACUAGCUACUAAUAUCUUCAAUUGUACAAAGCAAGAAAAAAAGCCAACACAUGCAAGAGACAUGAUUGUGAGAUGAAAUAAGGCAUGCAGAAAGUUUUGUCAACAAAAGAGUCAGGGAACUCAUGAAAAUACCAAGGUUUAAAGGGUUUAUUUGAGAAGCAUGGAAAAACAGAGAUACUGUGUUUGUUUUAGAGUCACUUAUAAUAGUCUGAGUUUGGGUCAAUAAUGCAGCAAGUCAGUGACAAAUUCUAAUGGUUGGAAGCAAGGUAAAAUGUGAUGAGGGCAAGAAUGAUUGCCACGAAAGCUAAAGCCACAAACCUGCCACCGAGUUUUUUAAACUCGCAAGUUCUCUUUGAUGAAAUAGGAAACAUGUUACCUUCAAAUCAAGGACUUUAGAGAAUAAAUAUCAAGGGUUGUAUUGACUCAUUUCCACAAGCGCAGAAAGCAAUGUUGCUACACACAGGUUUGAUAAUCAAAUUAUGGUAAAAAUUCAUCAUCCUAUAUUCCUCAGAGACAUACUUCUUUGUCUAGAUAUUUCAAUUUUCAAUUGCUAGGUGAUAUAUUUCUUAAAUUGUACCUUGAUUCCUAGAAGAUGUACCUUUUAGUCGAGUCAUUCUCCUUGAUUCCUAUAAGACGUACCUUUUAGUCGAGUCAUUCCCCUUAAUUCCUAUAAGAUGUAACUUUUAGUCAAGUCAUCCUCUUGAUUCCUAUAAGACGUACCUUUUAGUCAAGUCAUUCCCUUUGAUUCCUAUAAGACGUACCUUUUAGUCGAGUCACUCCUCUCGAUUCCUAUAAGAUGUACCAAUUAGUCGAGUUAUUCCCCUUGAUUCCUAUAAGACGUUCCUUUUAGUCGAUUCAUCCCCUUGAUUCAUAUAAGAUGUACCUUUUAGUCGAUUCACUCCCCUUGAUUCCUAUAAGAUGUACCUUUUAGUCGAGUCACUCCCCUUGAUUCCUAUAAGAUGUACCUUUUAGUCAAGUCAUUCCUCAUGAUUCCUAUAAGACGUACCUUUUAGUCAAGUUAUUUUCCGUGAUUCCUAUAAGACGUACCUUUUAGUCAAGUCAUUCCCCUUGAUUCCUAUAAGACGUACGUUUUAGUCGAGUCAUUCUCCUUGAUUCCUAUAAGACAUAUCUUUUAGUCAAGUCAUCCCCUUGAUUCUUAUAAGACGAACCUUUUAGUGAGUCACUUCCUUUGAUUCCUAUAAGACGUACCUUUUAGUCGAGUCAUUCCCCUUGAUUACUAUAAGACGUACCUUUUAGUCGAGUCAUUCCUCGUGAUUCCUAUAAGACGUACCUUUUAGCUGAGUCAUUCUCCUUGAUUCUUAUAAGACGUACCUUUUAGUCAAGUCAUUCCCCUUGAUUCCUAUAAGACGUACCUUUUAGUCAAGUCAUUUCUCUUGAUUCUUAUAAGCGUACCUUUUAGUUGAGUCAUUCCCCGUGAUUCCUAUAAGACGUACCUUUUAGUCUAGUCAUUCCCCUUGAUUCCUAGAAGAUGCACUUCCUAGUCGAGUCAUUCCUCUUGAUUCUUAGAAAAUAUACUUUCUAGUCAAUUCAUUCCCUUUGACUUCUAGAAAAUGCACUUUCUAGUUGAACCAUUCCAAUUAACCCAUAAAAGAUACAUUUCUUUGUUCAGGUUUUUCAAGUAGUUAUGAUGUGACUUUCACAGAAGUUCUCUGACGAUAAACUGGGGCAAAAAUUUAAUUGUUGUUGUUUGGAACUUCACUUUUACAGAAAAUGGAAUAUCUGUUUAUAAUAAUCUUUGUUUGGAUAAUUUUCUUUCUAGUUUUGAUGUGAUUUCAGGAGCCCACCUGAAGAACAGGGUGAAGAAAAAGAAUGUCCAAGAGCCCGCAUAAAGAACAGGUUAAAGAAAAAGGAAGUCCAGGAGCUCGCCUGAAGAACAUGGUAAAGAAAAAGUAAUUUCAGGAGCUCGUUUGAAGAACAUGGUGAAGAAAAAGUAAUUUCAGGAGUCUGCCUAAAGAACAGGGUGAAGAAAAAGAAGUUCAGGAACCCGCCUAAAGAACAGGGUGAAGAAAAGUAAGUCCAUGAGCCCGCUUGAAGAAUAGGGUGAACACUGUCAGGUGAAGAAAUAACAAGUCAGGAGCCCGCCUAAAGAAUAGGGUGAAUUUUCAAGUUCAAGUCGCAAAGAUUCGAAUCAAGAUUCUAGAGAAAUUGCAUUUUUUCACUUGUAUUUUUAUUUUUGAUUUUGUUAUUCACGUGGAUGUAAAAAGUAGAAAUAGUGAACCGAAAACUCGAUGGAAUCUCACUCGACCUCUAUCUCUUUCUCUCACUUUUUACCUUUGAACUACACGUGACCUAAUUCUCUUAUAACCUGAGAUAUGUAGAAGGUCCAAAACCAGGACUUAGUCACAUCUUUUCUUUUAUUUCUAAUUUUAUUUUAUCCUUACUUUUCGAAUAAUCGUAAGGUCAAAAAUCAUAUCUUGUCUACUUUGUCUUAUGAAAACUUUUCGAGAUUCCACACAAGGAGGGAAAAAAUGUAGACACAUGAUUUUUGACCCUCCUCGAAUUUUAACUUAUUUUUUUAUUUUAAAUAUAUAUAUAUUUGAUCCGAUAUUUUUUUAAUUCUUAUUUUAUUUUAAUAAAUUUGUAGUUGAAAAAUAAAUAACUAAAUAAAGUUGAUUUUGAGAUAUAUUAUUUUAUCUUAAUUUAAAUUUUAAAAAUAAUACAAAAAUUAAGAAAAAUAUUUUUCUUUUUUAAUUUUUAAAUAACUAAGCUAGUAUUUUUAGUACUAUCUUAAUUAUAUUUGUUUUUAGCCUUUUAUGAACUUUUAUUGUAUUUUCUUAAAUAUAAAAAUUAAUUAUUUAAUAUUAUAUUAUUUUUUUAUUAUUCUAUUUAUUUAUUAUUUUUAUUUUUAUUUAAUAUUAUUAUUAUAAUAAAAAAUCAAAAUUUGAAAAUCCUAUCCUAUAUAUUAUUUUUUUUAUUAUUAUUAUUUUAUUCAUUUAUUUAUUAUUUUUAUUUAAUAGUAUUAUUAUAAUAAUAAAAAAAUCAAAAUUUGAAAAUCCUAUCCUAUCUGUUGUAACUGUUCCCCCAAAGUCCUUUUAUUUAAGGACUUCCCCCUACCCAGACAACCCAGAGGAUUCUAAGUACUAUUCUCACCACCUAUAUUGUAUUACACUCUUAGCACCUAUACUGUAUUACACACUACAAAAAAAGAGAGUGAAAAAACAGAGAGCAAAAACCAGAGAAAAACAAAAACAUCAAACAAAAGAGAGAAAAGAGGAAAUUCGAAGUUGGAGGUUUUGUCAAAUUUUUGGUGACAAAUUUUAUAAUUCAGGUUAAAACAUUCAGGUUCUUAUUCAACUUUGUAUUUAUUUUAAUAAGUUUUUGUUAUAAAUAAAGUCAUAACAUAUAUUUUUUUAGUAAUUUCAUGAAUUGUUGUAUGAAAAUUCAUUGUAGUAUCCUGUUUUAUCUAUGUGAUCCUUUAUUCAAGUAUUUUGUGAAUGUUAUUAAUAGUGAAAAGUGAAAUUAAUAGAAUGCAGCAAACUGUCUGAUUUUUUAUGUGUAUAUAACAAAAAUAUAGUAAAAAUUGCUUACACAGUAUUUCACUUUUUCACAGAUGCACACACAACAUCAACACAUGCACAUACUACAUACACAUAUUGUUUUUUUUUUCAGUGAGCACACAUUCACACUUUCUCCCUUUCCGGUCACAAAUAUGUUGUGACACAUUCGCACACAACAGAAAGAGAGAAAGAUGGUAUCUGGCGAGUGAACGAAAAAAACAAAAGAAAAACAAAGAAGAAAUAAUAGAAAAUCAGUCAAAAAUAGAGAGAAAAAUGGAGAAAAACAAAUCGCAAAUCCCAUUAUUCCGGUGAUGUUUUCACCGAAAAUGGCAUUCCGUCGUCAAAAAAUGUCACCAACUUAAAACUCCGGUCAAAAUCAGUGAUCAACACACCAAAAUAAUCUAAAAUUCGGCUGACUAGGCACAUGUACCAAUCCGGCCACCUUCAAACUGCCAAAAAUCGACAAAACCACGCCGCCCCACACCCCUUCCCCAGAUCUAUCAUCAGCGCUACCCUUUCCCCUCCCUAUCAGCCGGUACGACCUCCUUACUCACCAAAAUAUUGGUCAAACUCAUCGGAAGACAGUACCAACCACGCCGGCGGCCCUCAAUUGACCAGCACGAUCCCGCCGCCUGCAAAAUCAUUAAAUCAGUCAACCCCCUCCCUUCUCCCUUUCUAGAUACAGCCAUCAUCAAUGGCCGACGAUCCGACCUCCCCCAUCCCCUUUUUCGUUACCCCACCGUCCAACUCCGGCCAGUGACCAUCUCCAUUAAAAAAAUGAUGCUAUCUGUUUCUGUUAAUAAUAUUAAUUAUCAUGAGAUUUUUAUGCAGACUAUUAAAAUGUUAAUUUUAAAUAUCUUUGGAAAUCUGCCUUUUACUACAUUAGAAAUUAUAUUAAUUUCCUUAUUUGACAAUAUUUCAUCACUUAUCAACUUGUAAUUAAAAAUACAAUAUUAAUUUAAAUCCUCAUUAUUUUAAAUAAUUAUGUUUCAUUUUGAUUUUAUAUAUCUUUGUUUUCGGGUUGCUCAAUUUUUCUUUCAUGAAUUUUUGUUUAAAUCAGAUUAUUGGAAUUUUUUAUGUUUAAUUUAUCUUAUAAAAAUAUGAUUUAAGUUUUGUAUGAAUUUAAAGAGAUUAAAUUUAGGGAUCAUAUUAAAUUUAGCUUAAUAUAGGUAGAUUUAUGUAUUUUAUUUAUUUUAUUAUUAUUUCAAUAGAAUUUAAUAAUCAUUUAUUGAUUUAAUUAAUUGUAUUAAAUGAAUUUUGAUUUAAUUUAUCAUUAAGAAUUUAGACAAAUUUUAGAAGCAUUUUAAAAUAUUUGUUUAAAUUAAGAAUACGACGUACGCAUCUUUUCGAGAUAUUUUUAAAAAUUCAAGGAUGCAAUAAUGCACCUUGAUAAAUAUUUUCCUAAAAUUAAUUCUCACUGAUUUAUUUAACGUAAAAGACAUAGGUAGCCAACGAUUUUAGGCCUUAAUAUAAUUUAUAAAAAUAGUUUUAGUCAAGAUAAGUCAAUAAAAGCAAUCGUUCUAGAACCACGAGACUCAAGGGGUGUCUUACACCUUUUCUUUAGUCAAUAGAAUUCCUUACCCGAUCUUCUAUUUUCGCAGAUCAAAAUAAAAGAGUCAUUUCUGUUUGACUAGAGAUUCAAAAGGUGACUUGGAACAUCAUAACUCAAUUUCAAGUAGGACUUUAUAAAUAAACUAAUCCCUAUUCAAAAUUAUCACCUUACUUGAAAAAAUACUUCGACUCGGCCCUCAAGCGGAAAGAGGUCUGACAUACGGGAUUCCCUCAAAAUAUGGUCAGUGGUUUUCUAUUUACUACAAAUACUACAGCUUGGAUCUGCGUCAAUUCCUAUUUGAUUUAGGAAUUGCUUAGCCGGAAGUCUGUUAUGAAAGCAAAUCCAAAGAAAAAAAUUUACUUUAUUAGGGCACUUCAAUUUCCAAAUCCAUUUAUAGUUAAGAGUUAGAAUCAGUACAUUGGGAGUUCUUCUGAAGUAAAUGUUGAUAUGCCAUGGCUGUUGAAAAAUGGUUUCCUGGUGUGAGAUAACAUCGCAUCUUAUCGAUAAGGUUAUGUUGAGGGAUGGUGGUAGCGACGAUUACUUCGGCUAUUGUCUUAGGAAGACGGUAGCUUAAGGUAUUUAGAUCCCAUUUCCCAUUUUUAAUCAGAGCAUCCACUAUUUGUUCUGCAUUCGUUUUGUUCAAAAUAGUAUGAAUUAAAUUUCUUAAAGAAACUUUGAAGGAGGACCACGAAUCUUUCCAAACUCUUAUUUUUUUACCAUUCCCAAGUUCUCAAUUUGAUUAUUCUAAACAGACCUCCCAACCAUGGGUGAUGUUUUUCCAAGUACUGCUUCUAUUUUUGGGAUUGUUUUAAAAGUUAUCCAAUCUUCCAAUCUUGGAGUAUUUUGGUAAUAGUACGAGGCCCAUAGGGAGUUUGGUUGAUUGAAGAUUCUCCAUGCUAAUUUAGCAUGGAGAGAUUGAUUUCUGAUCUUUGCUUUUUGAAUACCUAGCCCUCCUGUGUCUUUAGGUUUGGUGAUUGUAUCCCAUCCUACAAGGUGCAUUUUUCUUGUUAUCAUUCAACCCCCAAACAAAGUCCUGUUGAAUUUUGUCUAUUUAUUUGAGGAAGGUUAGUAUAUUGUAUAAUGUGGAUAGGGAUACUAUUAAGGCAAGCUUUCGCUAACAUAGUGCGCCCGACCAUAUUUAAGAAAUCUGCCUUCCAACCCGAUCGCUUCUUUCUAAGGUUGUCAAUGACAAACUGAAAGUUCUUGGCACAAGGUCUAGUGGAAAGAAUUGGGAACCCUAAAUAUCUUCCAAAGUACAUGCGGAGAUAUUGAGGAUGGCAGAGAUAUCUCUUUUUAACUCGUUACCAUAAUUUUUGGAAAAAAGAAUUUUAGAAUUCUCAUAGUUGAUUCUUUGCCCAGACCAGAUGCAAAAUUUUUGCAAACUAUUUUUAACAUUUAUACAACUAUCCCUAUCAGUUGUAGACAUUAGGAUUAGGUCAUCAGAAAAGAACAGAUGGCACAGGUUUGGGCCAGACUUGCUAUUUUUUAUACGGUCCCACAUGUUGUUUUUGAUCUCAUGGUUGAUGUUAUGUGCCAGAACUUCCAUGCAAAGAAUGGAGAUAUACGGGGAAAUGGGAUCUCCCUGUCAAAUUCCUCUAGAGGGGCUGAAAAAGUCCGUCCUCGUAGCAUUGACUAAAAUAGCAACAGGGCUAGUACAUAUGCAGGAUAUAAUAAGGUUUAUAAUAUUCAAUAGGAAAUUAAAAUAGUGUAGUAUAUGUCUGAUAAAAGACCAUUUUAUUUUAUUGAAAACCUUUUCUAGGACGUUGCCCUUAUCCCCUUUUAUUUUAUUAAAGUUUCUGAUUAUUUUCUGGAUGAUAAUAGCAUUAAGCUUGUCUGACACGGGCCUAUGAUUUUGUCCAUAAUAGGACACAUCCUUUUUGAAAUAAUUUUUGUAAUGAUUUUAUAUGACGCAUUACAAAAACUGAUGGGGCGGUAGCUUUUGAGGUUUUGAGCAUCAAGGUUCUUUGGAAUGAGACAUAUAUGGGUUGAAUUGAUACUGGGAUCAAUAGAUUCCUCCACAAAUGCUUCAUGAUAGAAUAAAAAAAUUGAUUUGCGUAAAAUGUCCCAAUAUUUCUGAUAGAAAAAGGGUGUAACCCAUUGGGACCUGGAGCUUUAAAGGGAUGAAAAGAGAAGACGGCCUCAUUGACUUCUCUCUUAGAAGGCAUUCUUCCUAGGUCUAAUUUGUCUACCUCGGAAAGGCAAAUUUUGGCUACCGGGACUGCCACGCGGAAGGAUUUGUGGUGGUUGGAUUUAAACAAGUCCUCAAAGAAGGAAAAAAUAUGGAUUAGUAAGUCAUCUUGGUCAUGGAUAUAAGACUAUUGUCCAGUUUUAGCGAAACUAUCCUAUUCCUUCUUCUUCUAACGAGGGUUGAGGUAUGGACAAAUUUUGUGCUUGCAUCCCCCUUAUUUAACCACGUUAUCCUAGACUUGAGUUUCCAGUAAUCUUCUUCCAUCCUAAGGAGGACAUUAUAAUCAUUUAUAAGCUCCUUUUCUAGUUUUUGGAGGAACAUACUGCGGUGAUAGUUAGGGGAUUUUUGAAUCCCAUAGAUUUUACGAAGCAACUUAUCUUUUUUUCUAAAAAUAUUCCCUAUGUUAUUGCAUGCCCAUGCAGAUGCUUCUUUUUCAAAUAUAACUACUGCCUCAACUAAUGGAGGAUCAUUUUCCCAUACGUGGGAAAGUAUGUUAAUAAACUCUGGAUUGGUCAUCCAUAUUUUUUCAAAUUUGAAUAUACGCUUUCGAAGAUUAUGGUCAUCCCUAAAUAAUGUUAGAAGGAGAGGGAAGUGGUCAGAGUGAGUAUGAGGUAGGUGGAUUACGUGGGCAUUAGGGUACUAAACAAGCCAAUCAUUAGUUACAAGGAUUCGGUCCAGUCUCCCAAGGAUUAAAGCAUUACGAUUAUUGAUACUCUUAUUUAGCCAAGUAUAUUUACUAUCUUUGUAUCCCAUAUCUAUAAAUUUGUAAUAGUUUAUCACUUGAUGAAAUUCAACGGAUUGAGAUCUGUUAAUCAACUUACCACUUUUCUUUUCUGAGUUGGAUAGGAGCUCAUUGAAAUCACCUCUUAUUAACCACUUACCUGGGAAACUGUCCUUGAUAUGUUUGAGAUUUUGCCAUAAAGUCUUACAUUUGUGAGUAUAUGUACUAGCAUAUAUACAACUAUAAAGCUAAGUAUCAUUGUUGUCUCUUACCUUAACAAUAGCAUGAAUUUCCUGGUUUGUGGUAGCAAUCUCGUCCAGUUCCAGGAUAGAGUCAUCCCACAUGACUGCUAGGCCACCUGCAUUUCCAAAUGUUGGGUCCUCAAUGAUCCUAUUAAAAGAAAAAUCAUUGAGCAGUAGUUGGUUGUCUUGCAUCUUUGUUUCCAGCAAAGCGACUAGAGGAGGCUUGUGCUAAUCCACUAAAGACCUAAAGUUCCUUCUAAAAUCAUGGCCAUUUUCCCCCCUACAAUUCCAUAUUAUGAGGUUCAUGGAUUUGUUCCUUUGUGGUGGGUUUAUCAGAGUAAUUUCCCUUGAGGUAUUUCUCAAAGGGGGAGUUUGGUUCAUCAUCGUUGGGUUCAUGACCAGGACAUAGUUCCCCACCUAGGGGGUGAAGGGUCGUCGGAUGUCUAGAGAGAUCUUUAUUAGAUUUUGGGGUCAAAUGAGGAUGAAUUUCUUGGUGAAAUUAUCAUUGAACACCAUUACUUUUAUAUCCUUUAGUACAGUUAUUUCAGUUCUUGUUUCUCGCAUUAUAUCUAGAUCUUCCUUUAUCUCUCAAAUAGAGGUAUUCACUGGACUUGGAUGAGCUAAAAUGGUAUUGGGAGGUACCUGGAAGGAUGAUGCUACAUUGUUUUCCUGUGUUACUGCCUGAUUCUCCAGUGGUCCGAUCGAACUCGACAGGUUUUGCAUUUGUCCUUCCCCUAUCAUCAUUCCUUAUAUCUGCCAAUGGAAGUACAGUGGGUCUACGUCCAUAAAGUUAUGAUAUGUUUGAAACUGGGGUGGAGAUAUCGGGAUCAUUUGUGGCUGCAGAACUAGUAUUGUUGGGGUUUACCAAGUGAAGAAUGGGAUGGUCGGUACUGGGAAGUUUAUCGGGGCUUGAAGAACUAUCGACAUCCAUAUGUGGCUAUUGUAUAGUUCCAUUUCCCUCCUUAUCCCUUCCAAAGCUAAGUAAGAUAAGAGCUCCGGAGUGCUGAUGACACACAUGACCUGCCUGUCUUCAAAGUACACAUGCGUCACAAGAGCUUGGACUUGCAGGUCUAUCUCCACCCAUGACGUAGGGUUAGGGUUCAGAGGAGCUUUCGGCGUAGAGUAUAUCAGCAUUGAGCCCUCCGACAUCCCUGGAACUGGAUAAAGAUAGAUUGGAGGGAGGCAGAUUGGAGACGCAUGAGGGUUAAGUGGGUUCAUCAUGUGUGGAGUGUAGGAGGUUCUUUGGAUGGCUUGGUUGUGUAGUGAUCGUUUUAGGCGUCUGGGCAUCAUUGUUAUUUAUAUUAGGAGUAUUGGUUUGGUAAGUGAUAUUUGGAAAAAAGACCGUAUUUAUUUUAGUUUGUGAAGGUUCGGGGAUAUUAGAAGUGGAAGAUUGAGGAUAUUUUGUGGGGAAAUUUACUGAAUCAAGAGUAGUAGAUUUUAGGAUUUUAUUACUGUUUGUAGUAUCAUUAAUUAGGGGUGCUCCACUAAAAGUGAUAUUUUUGCCUAUAGCAUUUGUGGUGGAGGAUUUUUCCACGUUUAAGUUAAUAUGACGUGGCGUCCUUGUGCUGGAGCAUUGAGCGUCAGCUGGAGGACAUGACAUGUCCUUGACCCGUACAAUAUCAGUAGGGGUCAAUGUAGGCCCUUUAGUUGAGAUGAGGUCAUUUACUGUGGCCCUUUUUUAGGGUAUAUUUGUAAAAGUGUUACCUUUGCUUUCCAGCUUGGCAAGGAUGGCAUCAGGCCCAUUUUCUAUGUUUUGGGGAGAGUUCAGAGUAGGCUUAGAAUUGGAACUCCGGGGGAUAUUUUUAUGAUAAUUUGUAUCUUUAAUCUUAGAUUGAGUGGGAGAACCUUCUUUAGAAGUGGAAGGAAUAAACAUAUCCUUACUUUUAACAAUGUAUUUAGUCGUCUGAUAGUCAGUGGACUUACUCGUGUCUGUGUUAUCGACUCUGACAGCAGUAUCCUCAGGUAGAUGUUGAUGAUAAGUCACACUUAUUCCCCUUGUCCUAGGAAGGCUCUUGAAGCUAGUACUUUCAUCCAUGGAGCGUGAUGCCACCUUAAAUUGGUUAUUCUUGGUGCGUUUUUUGAAAUUGACCACCUGCCAGUCCUCUUUACUACAUUCAUUGUGCGGAGUUUGAGUUUGUGGUGUGGUAUCUGUAGUUUCCUCAGGAAGCAUAGUUGCAGGGAUUGUACAUCGAUUAUGACACAUCCCGAGUGUGUGUCCUAUCAUUCCGCAAUUUGUGCAUAGGAUGUCGGCCCCUUCAUAAACUAUAAAUUGUUUUAAACUUCCAAUGUAUAUGUGCUUCUUGACUGGGACUCCCAUUGGAACUUCAAUACAUAUUCGGGCAUAUCGACCUCGAAGCGUUGUAGAUGUACAUAUAUCCGUCUUAACUAGUUUUCCCAAUUUGCUACCAAUUUUGGUUAGAAUUGAAUGGUCGUAGUAUUCUGUCGGUAGUUCCGGUAGGCGUAUCCAUAUAGCUGAUACAGUUUCAUUUGCCUCCGAUGCUGCGACGUUUGGGUGCCACUUUCUAACCGAUAGAAAGGCUCCGUUAAUGAACCACGACACUUUUUGGAGGGUUGUUUGCAAGUUCUCCUUUUUGAGGAAUUGAACUAUGAAAUAAUCACUACCCAGAUCAAUGAGGAUUAAUUCUUCCGUAGGUUUCCACAACACUGAAAGUCUAUUUUUGAGAUAGGCGUGGUUAAUCUUCCUCCUCGUUAGUUUAAUGAUCACCGAGUAUGACCAUGGGCGAUAGAUUCGAGCUUUUUCCACCGCCGUUAGUACGAUGGCUUUGUCAGUCAGAUUGUUAAUAAGCAUCGUCUCUUCUCGAUUCAUAUCCACCUCCAUUGAUUCAGAAGGUGUGUCCGGAGAUUUUGCUGAAGUUUCACUAGAAGGGACAAUUUGGGAAAGUGCGUUUAGGUAGUUCAUAGUUGAGUAGCUUAUGCUUGAGUGUCGAUUUGGGAGUGGUGGCUGAUCUUGGCAGCCUUCUGGUAAUAUCUUAUCAGUCGGGUCUAUUUGGAUGGGAUCCGUGGUAGAUGAACAGUUAGAGAGAAGUUAGACCUUCUCUCUCUAAAGUUAGUCGUUUAAUUCAUUUGUAGAAUUUAUUGUAAUUUACUACUUUUGUCGUCCCAAUUCAAAAUAAAAGGUACAUAUUUAAGAACUUGCACAAAAAAUACUACAAGACAACAUAUCUAAUCGUCUCACUGUUCUUCACUUUUAUUUAUCUUGUUUUUUCUGUUAGACAGUAGCUUCUUCGGUUAUGAUUCACUUGAUGAGGGAACAGUUAGGUGCCAUCACGACUUCAAAAAGAUUUGGGUUGUAACAAUACCGGUUCAUUAGUUUGGAUCUUUUAUCUCUUUACUUGUUAAAGCACAUUCAAAAAGUAAAUUAAACAAGAAAAAAGAGGUUAAAUUGUAUAUAUGCAAAGAGACUCUUGACUGGCAGCAUUUGUAAAAUAGCAAGGGAAGGGAAGCACACAACAAUCACAAAACCAUAAUGUAGAAACUUACAUCUACAUCAUUUGUUUAGCCUAUAAGUAGGAAUAGCCAUUAAAGGGUUUUGUCUGGAUGUUACUAUCCCAAAGUGCUCAUCAAUGUCCAAAUCACUAGGCUGCAUACCAUUUGGAAGCUCCCACUCAAAGCAAUGCACCAAUUGUGCCACCACAAGGCGGACGACAGUAAUUCCCAACUGCAUUCCAGGGCAGCUUCUUCUCCCAGAGCCAAAUGGUAUAAGUUGGAAGUCGUGUCCACGAAAAUCUAUACUGCUUUCAAGAAAUCUAUCUGGCAAGAACUUGUCAGGCUCAGGCCAAACAUUUGGAUCCCUCUGAACAGCGUAACAGUUUACCAGGAUUCGGGAUCCCUUUGGUAUGUGGAGAUCAGAGACAACACAAUCUUCCAUGGACUCAUGAUAAAAUAGCGGCGCUACAGGAUGCAUCCUCAUGCCCUCUUUUACAACCAUGUCUAAGUAGUUUAAAUUCUCCAGGUCGGAUUCUUCUACCCUUCUUUCAAGUCCUACAACUUCUUGCAACUCCUUUCGUAGCUUCUUCAUCACUUCAGGGUGCCUAAGAAGUUCUGUGAGUAUCCAUUCCACUGAUGAUGCAGUAGUGUCCAUUGCAGCAAAAAGCAUGUCCUGUAUAGAAAAGGAGGAAACUGGGGAAUUAAUUAGCACAAACUGUUUCAUUCUCAAGGCAUGUGAUACAUAUGACAAAGUAGGGGUACAAGUACAUACCAAGAGUAUAGCUUUUAUAUUACAACGGUCAAACUGAAAUUCUGCUUCUCCGGAUUUCAUUACGUCCAUCAUGGUGUCCACAAAGUCCUUGGUUUGCUUCCGGUCAUGAUCCUCGACAUGUUCAUCAAUAAUCUUCUCAAGAAACUCAUCAAACACCUUUGAAAGAUCCUUGAGCUUGCGAGUGAGACCCUGGAGAUCAAUAACACCAAGGAGGGGGAAAAAAUCUCCAAGAUUUGGUGCGGCUGAUAAACGCACAACCUCUUGAACAACAGCUUUGAAUCCCCUCUUGUCCAAGUCCUCAUCCAUGUACUUCUUUCCAAACACCAUUAAGCAAGUCACGUUUGCAUUCAAGGAUGUAAUCUUUGCACUAAGAUCAAGAGCUACAUGAUCACGAGCUUCCUCUUUUAGAGAUUCAAUCAGAAGUUCAACUUCCUGCUUUCUCAUGGAUUGAAACGAAUGGAUCUUGUGAUUGCUCAGAAGGUGCACUGUGCACAAUUUCCGCAUGUUACGCCAAUACACACCAUACUUUGCAAAUAUCAUAUUUUUUUGGCCAUAAGCCAAAUAUUGAGAUGCCUCAUGAUGAGGCCUACUAGCAAAGAUGUGAUCAUAUGUCUUGA
rnacentral:lncRNA from 1 species